rnacentral:lncRNA from 1 species
GAACACUCUUCAUUUCCUUAUUUCACCCUUCCUCUUCUCAUGCUUCCUUUCUCUUGUCUCGUCUUUUUCACCUCCUCAAACUCAUCUCCCUCAGCAAUGCCUUGAUGACCAGAGAGCUCCUCUGCUGCAAUUGCAGCGUCAUCUUUACUGUGCCCCUAAUUUUACUUUCUCUUCCAAUUUUGACCUCUGGGAUGUCAACACUGAUUGUUGUUCUUGGGAAGGAGUCACAUGUGAUGCUUAUGGUCAUGUCGUUGGCAUUGAUCUUAGUUACAAAAACCUUUCAGGCAGCUUCCACUCCAUAUUCGAUCUCCAUCAUCUUCAACACCUGAAUCUUGCUGGAAACAACUUUAAUACCACUCUGUUUUCCUAUGGGUUUGAUAAACUCCAAAAUCUAACUCAUCUCAACCUUUCAAGCUCAUGUUUCCAUGGCCAAAUUCCAGUGGAGAUCUCAUUCUUAAAAAGGUUAGUCUCUCUUGAUCUAUCCAAUCAAGAUUCUUGUUAUUUGAGAUAUUACAAAGUUCUGUACCCUGCCUUCUACAACUAUUACAAACCUCAACAGCCUCUUAAAUUAGAGAAUCCAAACUUCAAGACAUUAAUCAAGAAUUUGAGGUUUCUCACAGCGCUUUAUUUGGAUAGUGUGGACAUUUCAACUCAAAGUGCUAAAUGGUGUGAAACCACAUCUCUUGUACUUCCAAACCUGCAUGUGUUGAGUCUGUCAAGCUGUGGUUUGAAAGGUCCAUUAUGUUCUUCUCUCUCAAGACUCUCUUUUCUUUCCAAACUUAUCCUUGAUGGGAACCCAAUCUCUUAUUUACCUCCCAAUUUCUUGGAAACUUCCUCUCGUUUGGUUUCUCUCAGUUUGAGUGGUUGCAAUUUGAAUGGCCAUUUUCCAACCGGAAUUCUCUUAUCGCCAAAAAUUCAAAGCAUUGACAUUUCAUUUAAUCCCCAACUUAUGGGUCAGUUGCCAGAAUUUCCAGCAAACAAUGCAUUACUGAGUCUGUCACUUUAUCAUACAAAUUUCAGUGGAAAACUACCUGAAUCGAUUGGUAAUCUUAAGUUCCUGAAAAAUUUAGAGCUUUCUUAUUGCAAUUUUUUUGGACCUAUUCCAUCAUCAAUUGCAAAUCUUAGUCACCUGGUCAACCUACUUCUAGCAGGGAACAAGCUUUCUGGAUCAAUACAUUCUUCUUUAUUUACUCUUCCAUCGUUGAAGAACCUGUAUCUUGGAGCCAAUCAAUUGGUUGGGAAAAUUGAUGAGUUCCCCAAUGCAUCUUCUUCUUCGAUUGAGAGAUUAUAUAUUAGCUAUAAUUAUUUAACAGGACCAAUCCCAAAGUCAAUCCUCCAACUUCCAAGGCUUGAAGUGCUUGAGAUCGGAGAAAAUAGCUUCAGUUCCCUGAAGCUUGACAUGUUUGUCCAACUCAAGAACUUAAAGGGUCUCGACUUAUCCAACGUAAGCUUGUUAAUUGAAAGCGACAACAGAAGUCUUACUUUUCCCCAAUUAGAGAGCCUAAGCCUAAGGUUAUGCAAUCUUACUGAAUUUCCAGAAUUCAUUAAAAGGCAAGGCAAGUUGGUUGACUUAGAUCUUUCUAACAAUCAUAUCCAUGGUGUUGUGCCUAAUUGGUUGUGGAAGAGCAGUCUUUCAUCCUUAGACCUUUCUUUCAAUGUGAUUGAUUUUCCAAAACAACUUCCUUUAAGUGAUGCAAACUUCUUUUUCCCAAUGUUGAGGCGAUUGUGUUUGAGGUCCUGUAACAUAAGUGCGUUUCCAGAGUUCUUAAAGAGUCAAGAAAAUUUAGAAUAUCUCGAACUUUCAAAUAAUAAAAUAAGUGGUGCAAUACCAAACUGGGUGUGGAAGAAAAGUUUGCGGUAUCUGUUUCUUGCUAAUAACCAUCUCUCAUCUUUGGACCAACUUUUACCCAAUCAGAGUUCAACUUCUUCACAGGGCUCUUUCAUUUUCGACACAUCUUCUAACAAUUUGAGUGGCCCAAUUCCAAAUUGGUUAUGCAAUAUGAGUCAACUUUACAGAUUCAAUGCAUCUUAUAACAAUUUUAGUGGCUCAAUUCCAAAUUGCUUGGACAAUAUGAGCCAACUUGACACUGUCGAUGUAUCUUAUAACAAUUUGAGUGGCCCAAUUCCAAAUUGCUUGGGCAAUAUGAGUGCUCUGAUGUGGUUGGGUUUGCAAGGAAAUAACUUCAGUGGAAUGAUACCAAAAUUUUCAAAAGCAACCCAACUGCGGUUUCUCAAAGUUAGUGAGAAUAGAUUGGAAGGGAAGUUGCCCAGAUCAUUAGCUGAAUGCACUCAGCUUGAAGUUUUGGACGUGGGAAACAACAAGAUGAAUGAUACAUUCCCUUUUUGGUUGGAGAAAUUGCCUUACUUGACGGUUCUAAUAUUGCGGGAAAACAGAUUUUAUGGUCAAAUUAAACAUUUCAAACAUAAAUCUGUUUUCCCAACUUUGGAUGUAUUGGACAUUGCUUCAAACCAGUUUUCUGGUGAACUAUCCAUUGAUUUCCUUCAACCCACUAGACUAAGGUCACUCAAAAUAGGUGGGAAUAAAUUGGAAGGGAAGCUGUCGAGAUCAUUAGCCAAUUGCACAGCACUUGAGGUUCUGGACCUUGGAAAUAAUAUGGUUCAUGAUACAUUCCCAUUUUGGUUAGAGAAGCUACCUUCCUUGAAGGUUCUCAUUUUGCGAGCAAACAGAUUCUACGGCACAAUUACAGAAUUCAACACAGAACGUGGGUUUCCAAAGCUACGCAUUUUGGACAUUGGUUCCAACAAAUUUUCAGGCGACUUGUCCGUUGAAUUUUUGCAAAGCUUGAAGGCAAUGAUGCAGAUAACAAAUGAGGAUAAAGCUAAGCGGGUUUACAUUGGGGACGACUAUUAUCAAGACUCUGUGACAAUUGUUAACAGAGGGAUUGAAAUGUUCUACCAAAGAGUCUUGACAAUUCUUACUUGUCUUGACCUUUCCAACAAUAGUUUCCAUGGGAGAAUACCAGAAGAAAUACAAAUGCUGAGGUCACUCAGAGUGAUGAACUUAUCCAACAAUGGCUUCUCUAGUGAAAUCCCAUUAGCACUUCAAAAUCUAAAAGACCUCGAAUCUUUGGAUCUCUCAAGAAACAAGCUGUCAGGGAAGAUUCCUCCACAACUUACAAGUCUAACUUUCCUGGCAGCAUUGAACUUGUCAUACAACCAACUUGAAGGGAGCAUACCACAAAGCAACCAAUUCAUUACAUUUACAAAUGAUUCCUACCGUGGGAACCCAAAAUUGUGUGGGCUGCCAUUGUCAAGGAAAUGCAAUGAAGUUGGUCUUCCAAUGCCACCACCUCCAGUGGAAGAUGAAGAUUCAUGGUUAAAUGCUCUGUCUACUUGGAAAAUUGCAUUGAUAGGUUAUGCUAGCGGAUUAGUCGUUGGGCUAUGUAUUGGAUAUACAGUGCUGAAUGAGUUGGGAAACAAAUGGGUUUACAAGUUCAAGUGUGGGAAAAGAAAUAGAAGAAGAUGUAGGUGACUCCAUCAGAAUUCUUGCUUCAAAAUUAGCUGGUAAGCAUUUGUCUUUCUACUUUGAACUGAUAGUUGUUGAUAUAUAUAUAUAUAGGUUUUCAUAACCUCAUUUUUUGCUGUCAUUACCAAGUUCACUAUCAUAUCGUACUUGUAAUUUUAUGUUACCAUUGAGCAAUGCAGGAGGUACUUGAAGCAGGACAUGGAAUGUACAGUUGUGAGGUUCAUGAAGAAUGUAGGCAAUGAUCCUAACAAGAUCAAUCCACUGGUUUGUAAUUUUGCUUUAUAUGCACUUUUUUCCUGUUGUAGUUUUCUAUGAGUAUAAAUAAGUGUUUAUUCAUUUUGCAUCCAGGUCCCUGUGGAUUUGGGGGAUGCAAUGUUUCACUGCUACUGAAUUUCCAAGCUAAUAAUGAUAUUAUAAACAGGGAAAUGGCUGCCCAAGCUUUCUUUUAUAUGCAAUUUACUUCAAUUUUUUUAUCUUUAGAAUAUUUGUACAGCUGAGGAGAUUUGAUGGCAUGAUGUUGAUGAAAGCCAUAUCUGAUGGACAUUGGACUGAUUGUGUAAAGAGACGCAGAUGCUGCUACUCCCAUCCUUUGCUCUUCCAAACAGACGUGAGUUUUAUAUUUUAUGAAUCACGUGUUGGGCUUUAGGACCGGGUGUAAAGGGUGGACCUGUUGGUCCGGGUUUUAGUUCAGCCCGUCACUUAUUUUUAUACUAGUUUAUUUAUACUUUCAAUGAUAGUUUUAUUAAUUUAAAAAAUAUGGUUGAAUUAAGUAAUAAUAUGAUAAAAUAAUAAUAAUUAAAAUUUAAUGAAAUAAAUUAUGUCUUAACUUUCCAAUGUUAGCGAAAGGCCAACAAUAUCUCACCUUAUUAUUUUCUUUGUUAAUCCAAAAUUAAAAAGUUCAAAUUAGAAUGUGAUUUAGAGUUUGAAGACUUAAUUAAAUUUUUUUGAAGUUUAGAGUUCAAUUUAACAUAUAAUCCAUAGUUUAGGGACAUCAAGUGAAUUAACCCUUUGAUAAAUCCUAACAUAUUCAUAAGUUGCAUACUCAUUAAUAAAUUAGGACUAAAAUGCUUAUUGGUAAAUUGAUUUCACAUAUAAGUUAAUAUAUUUUUGGGUGCUAUACCAAAGUUUAAUUAAAAGAUUUUAAUGGUACACUUUUACAUUUUAAAAAUUUAAAUUAUAUAUAAACAAUUAUGAUAUAAAAUCGAGACGGCCCACAUCUAAAAUAUUUUAAGCAUCAAAUACAUGAAAAAAAAAAUUCUAAACCCAAAUAUUUUAAGCAUUCGAAACAUUGGCAUUGGCAUCAAUUAGAACACUUGGAUUGGAUAAUGAAAAAAAAAAAAUCCAAACCCAUCUAUUUAACAACGGUAUGUUUAUUAUAUGAUUUUCAAUACAAAAUCAGAUAAUUAAUCGGACACUGUUGAGUUAACUAAUACUUACAAUGUUCAAUUAAAUGAUUUUUUCCAAAAAAAAUUAAUUGUUUAUAUUUCGAAUCCAAUUCAACCAAUAAAAAGCCAGUUAUAUUUGAAUGCGAAUGCAAAGCAGUGGAUAUAACGUAAGGGACUCAAUCCAAUUUGGCAUUCUAAAUGAUGUCUUAAUUACAAUGUGGUACGCUUUCCAGAGUUGGCAAACAACCUAAAGCACUUGUUUAAUUUAUCUUUGAAAAGUGAUAAAAAUAUUAAUAACUAAAAUUAAAAAACUGCAAGAACCAUUAUCUUUCACAAAUUAUUCAAAAUCAUAUGGUAUUUGUAGUCGUUGGCUUAUAUUUUGAAAAGAUUGAUGUUACAAACUAACUCUGAAUUUCCUAAGCUUAUUUUUUGUCCCUUGACACACUUCGCUAUCAUAUGGUAUUUGUAGUCGUAGGCUUGUAGCAUUGACAUUCAUUUUAUCAUUUCGCAAUGCAAGAGGUACUGAAACAGGCUAAGCUGAAACGGCUCAUUAGGUUUGCUACUCCAAAAGACUCUUCGAAAAGAGCAAUGAAAGAAGCGACAAAAGGGUCCUUGGCUGUUUGUGAUGAUGCACUUACAUAUACUCACUUCUAUACGAUUCAUGUAAAUCCUUUCUAUAACUUAUUUCCUAGGAAGCAUUCCUCUAUUAGAGCAACUAAUCCAUAAUUCUUAAAUCCAGAUACUGUAAUUGGUUUUUUUUUUUUUUCUCUCGAUUUUGUAGCAGGGGCCAAACUCCCCAAUGUCUUGGCUACCAAUCUUCUUUAAUUUAAUCGAACUCAUUUAUGGUAAGGAUGAGUUUUGGAAUGCUCUAUGAAUAUUGUGAGUUGAACAUGAGCAGCAUACUUGAUAUGCAAAAUCUAAUAUCAAGAAUCUCCCUUGUGAGGUUCAUUUUUGCUUCAAUUCACAGCCAUUUGGGGUACGUAAUUUGUCUCUAGCACUGAACUUUCAUGCCAAAUAAUGCUAUAUUAUAAACAAGGAUCAUGGCUUUUCCAAGCCUUCUUUAAUAUGAAUUUACUCUUUAGUUCAGAAUUUUAUUUUCAAAUUAUUUUUGUGCAGCUUGGAAGAUAAUAUGACGAGUUGAUGUUGAUGAAAGCCACAUUUAACACCGUGAUUCUGCAAAGAGACACCACUGCUAGAUGUGCCUCUUUGAAACAGGACAAGCUCAAGCAAAGAUCGUUAACUUUAUCUUUGAAAACAAUGGUAAAAGUUUCUAACUAAUUAUCUUUUCCUUGACAUCUUCUUUAAUCAUGCUUGAAUUAAGUUUAAGCAUAUGAAAGACAUGAUUGUUGGUAGAUAAAUGAGAAGCUUCAUGUUCUAAUUUUCAGGCUAAUGGUCUAAGAAGACAGUAAGGCGUGUUGAUUGCAGUUUGUUAUCUAUUCUAUGGAAAAGAAAACGUGCAUUGCCAACAUAAAGUACAGAAAGGAUAUGCAUAAGGUGCAAAGGCUUAUCACCGAAGCAAGUCUACAGCUUGUUUAAGGCGGCUCAUGUUCUCUUACAUGUAAUUUGCAUGAAAUCUUAUUAUCUUAGGAUUAUACUGGAGUGCCACCAGCAGUUGACCUCACUAGCAUGUGAGACACUGUUAAGAAUCUUGACAAUGAUCUUAACAAGAUUAUUCCACUAGUUUGUAAUUUUCCCUCUAUAUUUUACCAGUAGUAUAUAACUUAUUUACUUCUAUAUCUUGCAAUUUAUGCAGCCCCCGAGCAUGGUAUAGCUUGGUGUUGGUAGAUUCACAUUGUCCAAGAACUUACAAGAUGUUGAGAAAGCAUAGUGUUGGCAAAAUUUUUGAGUUUUAUGGUUAAGUCUAUGAUCAUAAAUCUUAAGAAUAGAAUGAUUUUACUAUAAAAAAUUUCAGGUUUAUAGGACUUUAUCAUCAAUGUAACUAUUUUUAAUGUGGUUAUAGGAGAGGGUGUGGCUGAAUUAUCAUUAGCUAAUCAUGGUCGAGCCAUAGUUGCAGACAUGGGACCUGAAUAAUGUGCAACCAUGGGUUGUCUUUCCUGUGGAUCAUACAGCCUUGCAAUUCCUUAAUUUAACCAGCAGGAGUGGUGACACAGUUCAUUCUCCGUCCAUUUUAUGCGUGGUGAUGACUCCAACAAGGUUUUAUGUUAUUAUUGCUACUAUUUUGUCUUUUUAAUAAUUUAGAUAUAAGAACAUUUUCAUAUAUAUAUAGAAUAAGGAUGAGACAGAAGGACUAAAAUACUGGCAUCAAUAACAACACUAAGACCAAUAAAAUCUCAUAUUUCAAAAUUAGAAUUGAAAAAAAAUAUAAAAGAUUGAAGAUGCAAAGCAAAUAAAUUAAGUGUGAAUUGAAAACCUUAAUGCUAAGACUAAGAAUAAAUAAUUCAUCCCUUAAGACUAAUAGCUUCAUCAUCAUCCUUUGCUGCGAUAUGACUCUGGCUUGAAUUUAAAGAAGCAAAUAUGAAGUACUCAUCAUGCGAGAGAAAAUUACUUAGCUAAGAGAAGAAAUCAUUUACUUCAACCAAACUAUCCCCGGUAGAAAUAAAAGCCAAAAGAAUUAGAUUCAUUCAAAACAAAAAAUUGUAGGGAUUAGUUUUAUAAUUUUACUUAAAUUUUCAUUUCAUCAGGAGGACGUGGGUUCGAAUAUGUUGAAGUGCAUUAUGCUCCUAUUUAUGGGUUGGGGAGAGACUAAGCGUAGUUUUAGGCAUUGUAUCAAAAAAAAAAGAUUUGAUCAGAACCUAUAAUGUGAAAAGUUGUUACUAAAAAGUUUAAAAAAUAGAAUUUUUAGUUUCCUUUUGUUUAUUUAUUAUUUUUUUCAUAAUAUCUUUUAUCUAUAUUUGAAGUGUUUUGGGUUUAAUUUUUAAUCAUUAUAAUCAAAAACCCAAUUUUGUACUAAUAAAGCACACCAUUGUUAGUUUUUAGUGUUAUUUUUGAGGUAUUAUAUAUUUGUAUUUGACCUAUGUUUAUAAUGGUGAUCAGACCCGUUUUUAAUAUUUUUGAGACCCUAGGCGAAACAAUAAAUCGGGGUCUUGUUUAAAAAAUUAUUAAAUGUAAUACAAAAAAAUGAACCUUUUUUAUUUUAUAUUUUUUCUGCCUGCAAUAAAUCAAAAGACUAAAAAAGUUAAAAAAAUUUCACGUUAAAAAUUAAAAAAAGAAACUUUUUGCCCUAAAGUUGGGCUGACGGAGACUAGAAAACAACCCAACAAAUUCCAAUAAAAUCUCAUACUACAAAAUUGGAAUUAACAAAUGGAAAAACAAAAAGACAUUGGUAAAGCAAAAUAAGUGUGAAACAUGAACAAAUUGACAUGAAGACUAAGAAGAGAGUAUGAAAAAUUUUAAAAUUGUAAUUUAGGAUGACUUUAAAAUAUGGGGAAGAUUCAUGAAAAUUAAAUGGGCCUGAAAUCAAUGAUUUUGCAGUUUCUCUUUGUUGAUUUGGUGGAUGUUUCCCACUACUUUUAAUGGUUCCAAUUAUAUACUUGGAAAUUGGAAUUACUUUUGCCACUCAUUUCUCAUGUUGGUUUGGCCAAUAAAAGAUUAUUUGCAUAAAGCAACAAUGCGGCAAUAGGCUGCAAUAUUUCCACAUGCCUCUCAAACUUUUUACUCCAAUUUUAAGGAUUUUUUUUAUUUUUUAAAAAUUAACAUAUUUUUCUACCUUUCUUCUUUCUCUUCUCAUCCUCUCUUUCUCAAUCUCACCUCCCCAAAAAAUGCAAAAUAAAAAAAAUUAUUUUAAUUUUUAAAAAAUAUAAAUUUUGGAAUUUUUAUGAAUUUUUUGAAUUUUUUGAAAAGUAUUUUAAAUUAUUUUGUAAUUUUUGUUGAGAGAUAUCAAUUUGUUAAAUUUUAAAAUUGACAAUGACCAAAGGAGCAUGUACACCAAUUUAUUGUAUGAAUUGUUCGGGUUAUUUAAAUUAUAAAAUUCAACUCGAAAAUCAAAUUAUAAAUAUUUUUAAUAUUAUAAAACAUAAAAAUAUUAAGAUUAAAUAAUAAUAUAGAAAAGGAAUUUUUUUUCUCCAAAUUUCUCAUCCAAAUACAGUCUAAGAAAGCUUGAAAGCUGAAAUUUAAAAAUAUUAUUAUCUUAACUCGAUUUAAAAUUUUUUUGAGUCAAGUCGAGUGCAAAGAAAUUAGAGUUGAAUUGAAUCGAGUGAAAUUGUUUGAGUUAAACUAAAAAUUUUAAUAUGUCAAAUUGAAAUAUUUUUAUGGUAUAAUUAAUUUUAUGUUAGAGCACAUAAAUUUGAAACCAUAUAUAUAUAUUUGAAAACUUUUGUUGAAAAUUUUUAAUAAUAUAAACUCGAAACUUGAAUUAUAAAAAUAUUUAAUAAUAUAAAACAUAAAAAAUAUUAAAAUUAAAUAAUAAUAUAGAAAUAAAAAUUUUUCUUCAAAUUUCUCAUCCAAAUACAGUCUAGAAAAGUUUUAAAGAUGAAAUUUAAAUAUGUUUGUUUCAAAAGUGGAAAAUUCUAUAUAUUGAAUCAUCAAAAUUUUCACUUAUUGUGUUCAUCAAUCCAGCGAAGACUUAACUUGUACACAUUUCUUUGAUAAAUUAUAACUUAUUUACAAAUUCGAUACUCAUUAACAAAUUGAUAUUAUAUUUUAAGUUAAAUUAUUUUAAAUUAUUUUGUAAUUUUUGUUGAGAGAUAUCAAUUUGUUAAUUUUUAAAAUUAAUAGGGACUAAAGGAGUAUGUAUAUCAAUUUGUUGUUUGAAUUAUUUGUGUUUUUCAUCAUAAAAUUCAACUCGAAACUGGAAUUGUAAACAUAAAGAGAGCCUAAGCCUAAGGUCAUGCAAUCUUACUGAAUUUCCAGAAUUCAUUAAAAGGCAACCCAAGUUGGUUGACUUAGAUCUUUCUAAUAACCAUAUCCAUGGUUUUGUGCCCAAUUGGUUGUGGAAGAGCAGUCUUUCAUGGGUAGACCUUUCUUUCAAUGUGAUUGAUUUUCCAAAACAGCUUCCCUUAAAUGAUGCAAACUUCUCAUUUCCAAUGUUGGCAGACUUGGAUUUGAGAUCCUGCAACAUAAGUGCGUUUCCAGAGUUCAUCAAAACACAAGACAAGUUGGUUGACUUAGAUCUUUCUAACAAUCAUAUCCAUGGUGUUGUGCCUAAUUGGUUCUGGAAGAGCAGCCUUUCAAGGGUAAACCUUUCUUUCAAUGUGAUUGAUUUUCCAAAACAACUUCCCUUAAAUGAUGCAAACUUCUUAUUUCCAAUGUUGACAGGAUUGGAUUUGAGAUCCUGUAACAUAAGUGCGUUUCCAGAGUUCUUAAAGAGUCAAAAAAAUUUAGAAGAAUUCGACGCAUCUUAUAACAAUUUGAGUGGCCCAAUUCCAAAUUGGUUAUGCAAUAUGAGUCUACUUUACACUUUCGAUGCAUCUUAUAACAAUUUGAGUGGCUCAAUUCCAAAUUGCUUGGUCAAUAUGAGUCAACUUGAAACUUUCGAUGUAUCUUAUAACAAUUUGAGUGGCCCAAUUCCAAAUUGCUUGGGCAAUAUGAGUGCUCUGAUUUUGUUGGGUUUGCAAGGAAAUAACUUCAGUGGAAUGUUACCAAAAUUUUCAACAGCAACCCAACUGCAAUUUCUGAAAGUUAGUGAGAAUAGAUUGGAAGGGAAAGCAAAGGCACGGCGGUGGUCACGCUGGUCGUGGUGGCGCGACGGCGAUCAGGGCCCUUUCGCUGCUGCUUUCUUGACCCUUUUUUUGCUUCUUUUUUUUUGCGAAAAAAACUGAAACCCCCCCUUCUCUUCAAUUUUUCUUUUUAAUCCCUCCAAAAUUGUCUUCUUCCUCUUUGUUUUUAGGUGACAGGGGAAGAAAAUCAUGGCCUAGGGAGCUGCCGGAGUAGCUGGAAGUGGCAGGAGCAUGCUUGGAUGCCGAUUGGGUGAUUUGACAAGUCCAGAAGGACCAAAAUGUAGAAGACACAAAAUAUUUGGGGUAAAAAUGUGAUUUGGGGAAAAUAUAGGGCCAAGAUGUAAUUUUUUGAAAUUUUAAGGGUCAAAGUGUAAUUUACAAAAUAUUAGGGGUCAAUAUAUAAUUUUUGAAAAAUUUAGGGGCUAAAAUGUAAUUUAUUUUUUUGUAUUUUUUCAAAGUUUUAUUAUUACUAUUAAUAUUUAAAACAUAAAUUAAAAAUGGACUAAGACAAUUCCAAUAUUAAAUCCUAAUGGGCCCAAUCAUUGGGCCCAUACGAGGCCGACCCGGCCCAAAAUUCUAACCGGGCAAAAUUUAGUGAUUACAGUUAUUUUUGUGCAAUCAAAAUUUGGACAUUUGCAUGCAAUGCCAAAGACUUAAGAUAUUUCAUACUAUCAUUUUUCCCGAUCCAAAGUUAAAGAUAUUAAAAAUUUUAAAUUAGAAUGUUAUUUAUAAUUUGAGAAUUUGAGAUAGAAGGUGAAUUAACACUUUGAUAAAUCAUAACAUAUUUAUAAGAUGGAUACUCAUUAACAAGUUGAUUUUAUAUUAUAAGUUAAAUUUUAUUUUUUUUGGUGUUAUAACAAAAUUACCUUAGAAGAUUACAUUGUAAUUUUUUUAUUUUAAAAAAUGAUGUAGAAAUAAUUAUGUAUAACAUAAAAAAUGAUAAAGUUUGGCCAAGUUUAAAAUAUUUGUAACAUAAUUUUUUCUACAAAGUCCAUACUUAAUAUAUAUAAUUUAAACUUAAAAUCUCGGUUGAAGUAUUAUCUUUGCUUAUUUUAUACGUAGUGACGGUUCCAAUAAGAUUUAAAGUACAUUAUUAUUACUAUAAAUUUGUCUUUUUUAAUGACUUAGAUAUAGAAGAUUAUUUAUAUAGACUAAGGAGUGGGCAAGAAAACUAAAACCUCGGCAUUAAUAAGAAAAAUGACAUCAAUAAUAUAUUAAAAUCUCAUUCUUCAAAAUCAAUAAUAUAUUAUUCUUUAAUAAUAUAUUAAAACGCAAAUUAAAUGUGAAUUUAACAACUUAUUUCUAAUACUAACAACAAAUAAUUUAUGCUAUAAAUUAUUUAUUAUUAGUAUUAUUAUUAUUAUCCCUUGCUGGAAAAGGUUAACCAAAAAGACUUAGCUAAAGUGGUGGAACAUUAUUUUGAUGCAGUAUUGACUGGGCAAAAAGACUUGGAAAUUGCGUGCUAUGCCAAACAUGAAAACUACACAUUUGUGUAUAAAUAAGUUGUAUGCCAAGCACAAUCCUUCUUCACACCCAACAAACAUGAACACUCUUCAUUUCCUUAUUUCACUCUUCCUCUUCUCAUGCGUCCUUUCUCUUGUCAUGUCUUUUUCACCUCCUCAAACUCAUCUCCCUAAGCAAUGCCUUGAUGAUCAGAGAGCUCCUCUCCUGCAAUUGCAGCGUCAUCUUUACUGUGCCCCUAAUUUUACUUUCUCUUCCAAAUUUGACCUCUGGGAUGUCAACACUGAUUGUUGUUCUUGGGAAGGAGUCACUUGUGAUGCUUAUGGUCAUGUCGUUGGCAUUGAUCUUAGCAAUAAAAACCUUUCAGGCAGGUUUCACCCCAUAUUCAAUCUCCAUCGUCUUCAACACCUUAAUCUUGCUGGAAACAACUUUAAUACCACUAUGUUUUCCCAUGGGUUUCACAAACUCCAAAAUCUAACCCAUCUCAAUCUUUCAAGCUCAUGUUUCCAUGGCCAAAUUCCAGUGGAGAUCUCAUACUUAACGAGGUUAGUGUCUCUUGAUCUAUCUAAUCAAGGUUCUUGUUAUUUGCGAUACUACGCCAUUCUUGACCCAUAUAGAGGCGUCUACACCUACAAUGAUCCAUUGCCUUACGAACUUCAACAGCCUCUUAAAUUAGAGAAUCCAAACUUCAAGACAUUAAUCAAGAAUUUGAGGUUUCUCACAGAGCUUUAUUUGGAUGGGGUAAACAUUUCAACUCAAAGUGCUAAAUGGUGUGAAACCACAUCUCUUGUACUUUCCAACCUGCGUGUGUUGAGUCUGUCAAACUGUGGUUUGAAAGGUCCAUUAUGUUCUUCACUCUCAAGACUCUCUUUUCUUUCCAAACUUAUCCUUGAUGGGAACCCAAUCUCUUAUUUACCUCCCAAUUUCUUGGAAAUUUCCUCUCGUUUGGUUUCUCUCAGUUUGAGGAACUGCUAUUUGAGUGGCCAUUUUCCAACUGAAAUUCUCUUAUCGCCAAAAAUUCAAAGCAUUGACAUUUCAUUGAACCACCAACUUAUGGGUCAGUUGCCAGAAUUUCCAGCAAACAAUGCAUUACUGAGUCUGUCACUUUAUUUUACAAAUUUCAGUGGAAAACUGCCUGAAUCGAUUGGUAAUCUUAAGUUCCUGACAAAUUUAGAGCUUUCUUAUUGCAAUUUUUUUGGACCUAUUCCAUCGUCAAUUACGAAUCUUAGUCACCUGGUCAACCUAUAUCUGGGAGGGAACAUGCUUUCUGGAUCAAUACAUUCUUCUUUAUUCACUCUUCCAUCAUUAAAGACCCUGUCUCUUGGAGAAAAUCACUUGGUUGGGAAAAUUGAUGAGUUCCCCAAUGCAUCUUCUUCUUUGAUUCAAGAACUAUAUAUAGGCAAUAAUUAUUUAACAGGACCAAUCCCAAAGUCAAUCCUUCAACUUCCAAGGCUUGAAUGGCUUUAUAUUGAAAGCAAUAGCUUCAGUUCCAUGAAGCUUGACAUGUUUGUCCAACUCAAGAACUUGAGGUAUCUGACUCUGUUCAACACAAGCUUGUUAAUUGAAAGCGACAGCAGAAGUCUUCCUUUUCCACAAUUAGAGAGCCUAACCCUAAGGUCAUGCAACCUUACUGAAUUUCCAGAAUUCAUUAAAAGGCAAGACAAGUUGGUUGACCUCGAUCUUUCUAACAGCCAUAUCCAUGGUUUUGUGCCCAAUUGGUUGUGGAAGAGCAGUCUUUCAUGGGUAGACCUUUCUUUCAAUGUGAUUGAUUUUCCAAAACAGCUUCCCUUGAAUGAUGCAAACUUCUCAUUUCCAAUGUUGAAAGAAUUGCGUUUGAGAUCCUGUAACAUAAGUGCGUUUCCAGAGUUCAUCAAAACACAAGACAAGUUAGUUGUGUUAGAUCUUUCUAACAACCAUAUCCAUGGUGUUGUGCCUAAUUGGUUGUGGAAUAGCUCUCUUUCAGGGGCAAACCUUUCUUUCAAUGUGAUUGAUUUUCCAAAACAGCUUCCCUUAAGUGAUUUAAACUUCUCUUUUUCAAUGUUGAGGGAAUUGUAUCUGGAAUCUUGUAACAUAAGAUCAUUUCCAGAGUUCUUAAAGAGUCAAGAAAAUUUAGAAUAUCUCGAUCUUUCAAAUAAUAAAAUAAGUGGUGCAAGUCCAAACUGGGUGUGGAAGAAAAGUUUGCGGUAUCUGUUUCUUGCAAAUAACCAUCUCUCAUCUUUGGACCAACUUUUACCCAAUCAGAGUUCAACUUCUUCACAAGACUCUUUCUAUUUCGACGCAUCUUAUAACAAUUUGAGUGGCCCAAUUCCAAAUUGGUUAUGCAAUAUGAGUCAACUUCGCGGUUUUGAUGCAUCUUAUAACAAUUUGAGUGGCUCAAUUCCAAAUUGCUUGAACAAUAUGAGUCAACUUGAAACUUUCGAUGUAUCCUAUAACAAUUUGAGUGGCCCAAUUCCAAAUUGCUUUGGCAAUAUGAGUGCUCUGAUUUGGUUGAUUUUGCAAGGAAAUAACUUCAGUGGAAUGUUACCAAAAUUUUCAAAAGCAACCCACGUAUAUAUUCUGAAAGUUAGUGAGAAUAGAUUGGAAGGGAAGUUGCCCAGAUCAUUAGCUGAAUGCACUCAGCUUGAAGUUUUGGACGUGGGAAACAACAAGAUGAAUGAUACAUUCCCUUUUUGGUUGGAGAAAUUGCCUUACUUGACGGUUCUAAUAUUGCGGGAAAACAGAUUUUAUGGUCAAAUUAAACAUAGAUUUGUUUUCCCAACUUUGGAUGUGUUGGACAUUGCUUCAAACCAGUUUUCUGGUGAACUAUCCAUUGAUUUCCUUCAACCCACUCGACUAAGGUCACUCAAAAUUGGUGGGAAUAAAUUGGAAGGGAAGUUGUCGAGAUCAUUAGCCAAUUGUACAGCACUUGAGGUUCUGGACCUCGGAAAUAAUAUGGUUCAUGAUACAUUCCCAUUUUGGCUAGAGAAGCUACCUUCCUUGAAGGUUCUCGUUUUGCGAGCAAACAGAUUCUACGGCACAAUUUCAAAAAUCGACACGGAGCGUGGGUUUCCAAAGCUACGCAUAUUGGACAUUGGUUCCAAUCAUUUUUCAGGUGACUUGUCCAUUGAAUUUUUGCAGAGUUUGAAGGCAAUGGCGAAGAUGACUAAGGACGAAAAGGUUAAGCGGGUUUACAUUGGGGACGUCUAUUAUAAAGAUUCUGUGACAAUUGUUAACAGGGGGGUUGAACUAUUUUACCAAAAAAUCUUAACUGUUCUUACUUGUCUUGACCUUUCCAACAAUAGUUUCCAUGGGAGAAUACCAGAAGAGAUACAAAUGCUGAGGUCACUCAGAGUGAUGAACUUAUCCAACAAUGGCUUUUCUGGUGAAAUCCCAUUAGCACUUGAAAAUCUAAAAGAUCUUGAAUCUUUGGAUCUCUCACAGAAUGAGCUGUCAGGGAAGAUUCCUGCACAACUUACAAGUUUAACUUUCUUAGCAGCAUUGAAUUUGUCUUACAACCUACUUGAAGGGAGCAUACCGCAAGGCAACCAAUUCAGUACAUUUUCAAAUGAUUCUUACCGUGGGAAUCCAAAAUUAUGCGGUCCACCAUUGUCCAAGAAAUGCAAUGAAGUUGGUCUUCCAAAGCCACCACCUCUAGGGGAAGAUGAAGAUUCAUGGUGAUAUGCUGUGUCUACUUGGAAAAUUGCGUUGAUAGGUUAUGCUAGUGGAUUAGUCGUUGGGCUAUGUAUUGGAUAUACAGUGCUGAAUGAGUUGGGAAACAAAUGGGUUGACAAGUUCAAAAAGUGUGGGAAAAGAAAUAGGAGGAGAUGUAGGUGACUCCAUCAGAAUUCUUGCUUCAAAAUUAGCUGGUAAGCAUUUGUCUUUCUAAUUUGAACAGAUAGUUGUUGAUAUAUAUAUAGGUUUUCAUAACCUCAUUUUUUGCUGUCUUUACCAAGUUCACUAUCAUACCGUACUUGUAAUUUUAUGUUACCAUUGAGGUACAUGAAUAAUCUAGGCAGUGAUCCUAACAAUGAUCCUAACAGCUGAGGAGAUUUGAUGGCUUGAUGCUGAUGAAAGCUUUUUCUGAUGGACAUUGGACUGAUUGUGUCAAGAGAUGCAGAUGUUGCUACUCCCACCCUUUGCUCUUCCAAAGAGACAUUAGCUUUAUAUUUUAUCAAUCACGUGUUGGGGUUUAGGAUCGGGUGUAAAGGGUGGACCUAUUGGUCCGGGUUUUAGUUCAACCCGACACUUAUUUUUAUACUAGUUUAUUUAUAGUUUCAGUGAUAGUUUUAUUAAUUUUAAAAAUAUAGUUGAAUUAGAUAAUAAUAUGAUAAAAAUAAAAAUAAAAAUAAAAAUUGUCACAGGGGCCUUUCAGUUUCGACGCAUCUUCUAACAAUUUGAGUGGCCCAAUUCCAAAUUGGUUAUGCAAAAUGAGUCGACUCGGCCGUUUUGAUGUAUCUUAUAACAGUUUGAGUGGCCCAAUUCCGAAUUGCUUGGGCAAUAUGAGUGCUCUCUAUUCGUUGGAUCUGCAAGGAAAUAACUUCAGUGGAAUGAUGCCAAAAUUUUCAAAAGCAACCCAACUGUCGUUUCUCAAAGUUAGUGAGAAUAGAUUGGAAGGGAAGUUGCCCAGAUCAUUAGCUGAAUGCACUCAGCUUGAAGUUUUGGACGUGGGAAGCAACAAGAUGAAUGAUACAUUCCCUUUUUGGUUGGAGAAAUUGCCUUACUUGACGGUUCUAAUAUUGCGGGAAAACAGAUUUUAUGGUCAAAUUAAACAUUUCAAACAUAAAUCUGUUUUCCCAACUUUGGAUGUAUUGGACAUUGCUUCAAACCAGUUUUCUGGUGAACUAUCCAUUGAUUUCCUUCAACCCACUCGACUAAGGUCACUCAAAAUAGGUGGGAAUAAAUUGGAAGGGAAGCUGUCGAGAUCAUUAGCCAAUUGCACAGCACUUGAGGUUCUGGACCUUGGAAAUAAUAUGGUUCAUGAUACAUUCCCAUUUUGGUUAGAGAAGCUACCUUCCUUGAAGGUUCUCGUUUUGCGAGCAAACAGAUUCUACGGCACAAUUUCAAAAAUUGACACGAAACGUGGGUUUCCAAAGCUACGCAUAUUGGACAUUGCUUCCAACAAUUUUUCAGGUGACUUGUCUAUUGAAUUUUUGCAGAGUUUGAAGGCAAUGGCGGAGAUGACUAAUGAUGAAAAGGCUACGCUGGAUUAUAUCGGAGAGAAUUAUUAUCAAGACUCUGUGACAAUUGUUAACAGAGGGAUUGAAAUGUUGUACCAAAAAGUCUUGACAAUUCUUACUUGUCUUGACCUUUCCAACAAUAGUUUCCAUGGGAGAAUACCAGAAGAGAUACAAAUGCUGAGGUCACUCAGAGUGAUAAACUUAUCCAACAAUGGCUUUUCUGGUGAAAUCCCAUUAGCACUUGAAAAUCUAAAAGAUCUUGAAUCUUUGGAUCUCUCACAGAAUGAGCUGUCAGGGAAGAUUCCUGCACAACUUACAAGUUUAACUUUCCUGGCAGCAUUGAACUUGUCAUGCAACCAACUUGAAGGGAGCAUACCACAAAGCAACCAAUUCAUUACAUUUACAAAUGAUUCCUACCGUGGGAACCCAAAAUUGUGUGGGCUGCCAUUGUCAAGGAAAUGCAAUGAAGUUAGUCUUCCAAUGCCACCACCUCCAGGGGAAGGUGAAGAUUCAUGGUUAAAUGCUCUGUCUACUUGGAAAAUUGCGUUGAUAGGUUAUGCUAGUGGAUUAAUCGUUGGGCUAUGUAUUGGAUAUACAGCGCUGAAUGAGUUGGGAAACAAAUGGGUUGACAAGUUCAAAAAGUGUGGGAAAAGAAAUAGAAGAAGAUGUAGGUGACUCCGUCAGAAUUUUUGCUUCAAAAUUAGCUGGUAAGCAUUUGUCUUUCUAAUUUGAACAGAUAGUUGUUGAUAUAUAUAUGUAUAUAUAUAGGUUUUCAUAACCUCAUUUUUUGUUGUCAUUACCAACUUCACUAUCAUAUCGUACUUGUAAUUUGAUGUUACCAUUGAGCAAUGCAGGAGGUACUUGAAGUAGGAAAUGGAAUGUACAGUUGUGAGGUUCAUGAAGAAUGUAGGCAAUGAUCCUAACAAGAUCAAUCCACUGGUUUGUAGUUUUGCUUUAUAUGCACUUUUUUCCUGUUGUAGUUUUCUAUGAGUAUAAAUAAGUGUUUAUUCAUUUUGCAUCCAGGUCCCUGUGGAUUUGGGGGAUGCAAUGUUUCACUGCUACUGAAUUUCCAUGCUAAUAAUGAUAUUAUAAACAAGGAAAUGUCUGCCCAAGCUUUCUUUUAUAUGCAAUUCACUUCAAUUUUUUUAUCUUCAGAAUAUUUGUACAGCUGAGGAGAUUUGAUGGCAUGAUGUUGGUGAAAGCCAUAUUUGACGGACAUUGGACUGAUUGUGUAAAGAGACGCAGAUGCUGCUACUCCCAUCCUUUGCUCUUCCAAACAGACAUGAGUUUUAUAUUUUAUGAAUCACGUGUUGGGCUUUAGGACCGGGUGUAAAGGGUGGACCUGUUGGUCCGGGUUUUAGUUCAGCCCGUCACUUAUUUUUAUACUAGUUUAUUUAUACUUUCAAGGAUAGUUUUAUUAAUUUUAAAAAUAUGGUUGAAUUAAGUAAUAAUAUGAUAAAAAUAAUAAAAAUAAUAAAAAUUUUAUCAAAUAAAUUAUUUCUUAAAAUCUAGUAUGCUUUCCAAUGUUAGCCAAAGGCCAACAAUAUCUCACACUAAUAUUUUCUUUGUUAGUCCAAAAUUAAAAAUUUCAAAUUAGGAUGUAACUUAUAGUUUGAGGGCUUAAUCAAAAUUUUUUUUAAAAAUUUAGAAAUCAAUUUAAAAUUUAAUCCAUAAUUUAAGGAAUUAACCUUUUGGUAAAUCCUAACAUAUUCAGAAGUUCCAUACUCAUUAAUAAAGAGUGAACCUGUUGGUCUAGGUUUUAUGUUAAUUUUAUCACGAAAUUUUAAUUUUAUUUCAUUUUAGUCCCGUGAGAAACGGUGCGCAUAAGGGCAAGGUAUAUUCUCCUAUUCGGUCCCUAUUCUUUUUAGCAUGUUAUAUUUUAAUUCUUAUUAGCCUUUUUUAUUUACAAUUUAUACUCCUUAAUUUUAUUCCGAUUUCAAUAUGAUCCUUAGUUUAUUUAACUUCAAUUUUUUUUACAAACUGUUUCAUUUAUUAUUUAUUUAUUUAUUUUCAAUUUUUAAUAAAAUGUUUUAUUGGUAGUCACCUUUUUAUUUAUUUAUUUACUUAUUGCUUCCUUUGUUUUUUAUUUUUAAUUGGCUUGCUUUUUGUAUUUUCCUUUUAUUGUGCAUUUUUUGGCGGCACUUACCACAAAGCGCCGCAAAUAGUAAGCAUUAGCGGCGUUUUGAAAUAAGUGCCACUAACUCUAAUAUACGUCAAGGCCAAACUCUGCGUUUUGGUUAGGAUACUUUGCGGCGCUUUCCACAAGCGCCGCUACUACUAUAGUUUAGCGGCGUUUUCCAAUAAGCGCCACUAAUUCUAAUAUACCUCAAGACCAAACUCCGCGUUUUGGUUAAGAUAUUUUGAGGCGCUUACAACCAAACGCUGCUAUUACUAUGCUUUAGUGGCGUUUUCCUUAAACGCCACUAAUUAUAAUAUACAUCAAGACCAAAACGCUGCGUUUUGGUUAAGAUGUUUUGCGGCAUUUAACGCUCAGCGCCGCUAAUACUAUACAUUAGCGGCGUUUUCUUUAUAAGCACCACUAAUUGUAAUAUACAUCAACACCAAACUCUGCGUUUUGGUUAACAUCUUUUGCGGCGCUUCCGCUAAGCGUCGCUAAUACUAUGCAUUACCGGCGUUUGUUCGUAAGCGCCACUAAUUCUAAUAUACAUCAAGACCAGAACACUGCGUGUUGGUCUUGAGAUUCUACGGCACUGUGUGGUAAACGCCACUAAUGAUGUUUUUUUUAUGGCGUUUGUUCGGGAAACGCCACUAUUCAUCCGACUUUUUGCGGCGUUUUAAAAGAAGCGCCGCUAAUGCUAGAUCUUUAGCGGCGUUGUAUUCUUUGCGCCACUAAUGCUCGAUUUUUAGCGGCGUUUGUAAUCCAAACGCCACAAAAUAUGCCGCUAAAAGCCUGUUCUGGUGUAGUGUUAGAGUUGAGCCCAUAAUUUGGGGUGUUGGAUUUAAUUAAACCCGUUGGUAGAUCAUAGCAUAUUUAUAAGUUGGGAUUUAGGAGUACUCAUUUAUUUUUGAUGAUUUUUAUGAGUGUUACAUAACAUCCUUUAUGUAUAUAUAUUUGAAGUUGUUUGAGUUUGAUAUUUAAUCAUUAGAAUUAAAAAUCCAAUUCUCUACUAAUAAAUCAAACAAUUGUUUUUUUUAGUGUUAUUUUUGAGCUCUUAUGUAUUUGUAUUUUACCUAUGUUUAUAGUGUUGACUGGUCAAAAUUAUAGGGUAUAUAAAAAACAUUAUUGUGUAAAAUUGUUUGAUUUAAAUUAAAAAAUAAAUAUGUCAAAUUAAAAUUUUAUUAUAGUAUAAUUAAUAUUUGAAAUCAUAAAUAUUAGAAAACUGUUUCAAAGCAAAAUAAUAAAAAAUUAUUAUAGUCUUUACAUAAUAUAAAUUUUAGAAUUUUUAUGAAUAUUUUAACUUUAAAAAUAUUUUAAUAUAUUUUUGUAAUUUUUGUUGAGAGAGAAUAUUAAUUUGUUAAUUUUUAAAAUUGACAAGAAUCAAAGGAGUAAAUAUAUCAAUCUGUUAUUUGAAUUAUUCGAAUUAUUUAAAUUAUAAAAUUCAACUCGAACCUCGAAUUAUAACUAUUUUUAAUAUUAUAAAAUAUUAAAAUAUUAAAAUUAAAUAAUAAUUAAAUAAUAAUAUAGAAAUGAAAAUAUUUCUCAAGCUUUAAGAAAGUUUGAAAGCUGAAAUUUAAAAAUGUAUCUUUCAAAAGUGAAAAAUUCUAUAUAUUCUAUCAUCAAAAUUUCCACUUAUUGUGUCCAUCAAUCUAUAAGGUGACUUGACUUGUACACAUUGGUUAAACAUUAUUUUUGUGCAAUAAAAACUUGGACAUUUGCAUGCAAUGCCAAAGACUUAAUACCUAAAUUAAAAGGCCUAUAAUAUUUCAUACUACAAUUUUUUCUGGUCCUAAAUUAAAGAUUUUAAAAUUUUCAAAUUAAAACCAUUAUGAUUUAAAAUUAUUAUAGUUUUUACAAAAUAUAAAUUUGAGAAUUUUUAUGAAUAUUUUGAUUUUAAAAAUUAUUUAAAAUUUUAUUUGAAAACUUUUGUUGAGAGAGAUCAAUUUGUUAAUUUUUAAAAUUGACAGGGACCAAAGGAGCAUGUACAUCAAUUUAUUGUUUGAAGUAUUUGAGUUAUUUAAAUUGUAAAAUUCAACUCGAAACUCGAAUUAUAAAAAUAUUUAUUAAUAUAAAACAUAAAACAUAAAAAUUAAAUAUUAAAAAAAUGACAUCAAUAAUAUAUUAUUCUCUAAUAAUAUAUUAAAACGCAAAUUAAAUGUGAAUUUAACAACUUAUUUCUAAUACUAACAACAAAUAAUUUAUGCUAUAAAUUAUUUAUUAUUAGUAUUAUUAUUAUUAUUAUCCCUUGCUGGAAAAGGUUAACCAAAAAGACUUAACUAAAGUGGUGGAACAUUAUUUUGAUGCAGUAUUGACUGGGCAAAAAGACUUGGAAAUUGCAUGCUAUGCCAAACAUGAAAACUACACAUUUGUGUAUAAAUAAGUUGUAUGCCAAGCACAAUCCUUCUUCACACCCAACAAACAUGAACACUCUUCAUUUCCUUAUUUCACUCUUCCUCUUCUCAUGCUUCCUUUCUCUUGUCUUGUCUUUUUCACCUCCUCAAUCUCAUCUCCCUAAGCAAUGCCUUGAUGACCAGAGAGCUCCUCUCCUGCAAUUGCAGCAUCAUCUUUACUAUGCCCCUCAUUUUACUUUCUCUUCCGAAUUUGACCUCUGGGAUGUCAACACUGAUUGUUGCUCUUGGGAAGGAGUCACUUGUGAUGCUUAUGGUCAUGUCGUUGGCAUUGAUCUUAGUUACAAAAACCUUUCAGGCAGCUUUCACCCCAUAUUCAAUCUCCAUCGUCUUCAACGCCUUAAUCUUGCUGGAAACAACUUUAAUACCACUCUGUUUUCCUAUGGGUUUGAUAAACUCCAAAAUCUAACUCAUCUCAACCUUUCAAGCUCAUGUUUCCAUGGCCAAAUUCCAAUGAACAUCUCACACCUAACAAGGUUAGUCUCUCUGAACCUAUCUUAUCAAGAUGAUUGCUAUUGGAGAAAUGGUUACGAUUAUAACUCAGCUACUUUAAAAUUGGAGAAACCAAACUUCAAGACAUUUAUCAAGAAUUUGAAGUUUCUCACGGAGCUUUAUUUGGAUGGUGUCGACAUUUCAACUCAAAGUACUAAAUGGUGUGAAACCACAUCUCUUGUACUUCCAAACCUGCAUGUGUUGAGUCUGUCAAGCUGUGGUUUGAAAGGUCCAUUAUGUUCUUCACUCUCAAGACUCUCUUUUCUUUCCAAACUUAUCCUUGAUUGGAACCCAAUCUCUUAUUUACCUCCCAAUUUCUUGGAAAUUUCCUCUCGUUUGGUUUCUCUCAGUUUGAGGAACUGCAAUUUGAGUGGCCAUUUUCCAACUGAAAAUCUCUUAUCGCCAAAAAUGCAAAGCAUUGACAUUUCAGAUAAUGACCAACUUAUGGGUCAGUUGCCAGAAUUUUCAUCAAACAAUUCUUUACAGAGUUUGUCGCUUUCUUAUACAAAUUUCAGUGAAAAACUACCCCAAUCAAUUGGUAACCUCAAGUUCCUGACAAAUUUAGAGCUUGAUGAUUGCAAUUUUUUUGGACCCAUUCCAUCGUCAAUUGCAAAUCUUAGUCACCUGGUCAACCUAUAUCUAGGAGGGAACAAGCUUUCUGGAUCAAUACAUUCUUCUUUAUUUACUCUUCCAUCGUUGAAGAUCUUGUAUCUUGGAGAAAAUCAAUUGGUUGGGAAAAUUGAUGAGUUCCCCAAUGCAUCUUCUUCUUUGAUUCAAGAAUUAUAUAUAGGCAAUAAUUAUUUAAAAGGAACAAUCCCAAAAUCAAUCCUUCAACUUCCAAGGCUUGAAUGGCUUUAUAUCCGAGACAAUAGCUUCAGUUCCAUGAAGCUUGACAUGUUUGUCCAACUCAAGAACUUAAAGGGUCUCUACUUAUCCAACGUAAGCUUGUUAAUUGACAGCGACAACGGAAGUCUUACUUUUCCCCAAUUAGAGAGCCUAGGGCUAAAGUCAUGCAACCUUACUGAAUUUCCAGAAUUCAUUAAAAGGCAAGACAAGUUGGUUGACUUAUAUCUUUCUAGCAAUCAUAUCCAUGGUGUUGUGCCCAAUUUGUUGUGGAAGAGCAGUCUUUCAUGGGUAGACCUUUCUUUCAAUAUGAUUGAUUUUCCAAAACAGCUUCCCUUAAAUGAUGCUAACUUCUCAUUUCCAAUGUUGAAAGUAUUGCAUUUGAGGUCUUGUAACAUAAGUGCGUUUCCAGAGUUCAUCAAAACUGUUGAAAGCUGGACUGCAAUGCAACAUGGAGCCAAAAGCUUGCUACUAUCGAGACCAGCAGCUAUCGAGCUCAGCUCGUUUUGCUUGGUGCGCACGAAUGGUUUUUGAACUGAAUGAAGCAACCAACUUUGCUGUUUUGUUUUGAUGUAAUUUGAUUCAGUUCAACUUUAGUUUGUUUGUAAUGCUAGUUAAACUUAAGUUAGUGACAUGAUCUUUUGAUGUAAUGGCUGAUUGGUCAGCUAUGUUUGAUUAUUUUUGGCUAGUGAUUAGGUUUGUAUUAGUUGGGGCAGUUAAAUACAUUAGGUAACUGUCAAUGUACAAUUGUAACUCUUUUAUAUAUUUCAAGUUGAAUGAAAAAUGAGGUAUGUUCAGUCACAAACAUUGCUGAGUAUUUUGAUUUUUGAUGCUUUGCUUGCCUUGAUUCUUCUUGCUUCAGUCUUGCAAACAUUGAGUUGCAAAUUUGCUUUGAUGUUUGCUGCUGUCAUUGUUCCAACAAAUGGUAUCAUGAGCCCGAGUCUUUGAGGGGCCUUUGUAUGCAAUCUGUUGUGUUCGAAACAAAACCAACAGCAAGUUCAAAAUUUGGUAAGAUUGAAGCAUUUAAAAUCAGUUCAGCAGAAUGAGUUUCACUCCACCACCUCCACCAGUGUUCACUGGAGAAAACUAUCACAUUUGGAUAGUUAAAAUGAAGACUUAUCUCUAGGCACAUGAUCUUUGGAGUGUGAUCGAGAAUGAUGCUGAACCACCUCCAUUGAGAGCCAAUCCCACCAUUGCACAGAUGAGGCAACAUACUGAGGAGCGAGCCAAGAAGCAUAAGGCUAUGGCCUGCUUGCAAAAUGGAGUCUCUGAUGUGAUAUUUACUCGCAUCAUGGCCUGUGACUCACCUAAGCAGGCUUGGGAGAAGCUGAAGGAGGAGUUCAUGGGGACUGAUAAGACAAGGCAACAGCAAGUAAUCAACCUCAGGAGAGACUUUGAAAACUUGAGGAUGAAGGAGUCUGAGACCAUCAAGCAGUACUCAGACAGGAUAAUGGCCAUUGUCAACAGCAUUAGGCUCCUGGGAGUGGACUUCACAGAGAGCAGAGUUGUUGAAAAGGUUAUUACAACUCUUCCUGAGAAAUUUGAGUCUAAAAUCUCUUCACUUGAGGACUCGAGGGACUUAUCAGCCAUUUCAUUGUCUGAGCUGAUAAAUUCCCUAUAUGCACUUGAGCAAAGGAGGGCAAAUAGGCAGGAGGAGAAUCCUGAAGCUGCUUUCCAGGCUAAAGCCAGUGAAGGCUCGAGUGUGAGUGCAAAAGGCAAGAAGCCUUGGCACAAUAGAAGGGUCAAGUCAGGAAGAGAUGAAGCAAAAAGGGUGUUCCCACCAUGUGUUCAUUGCAAGAAGACAACACAUUCAGAAAAGUAUUGCUGGUUUAGGCCAGAUAUUCAGUGUAGAAAAUGCAAACAGUUUGGCCAUGUGGAGAAGGUGUGCAAGGGCAAACCAAGGGAGGCUACUCUGCAACAAGCUAGACCUGCUGAGGACAUUCAAGCUCAGGAGGAGCAAGUGUUCACAGCAACUUGUUUUGUUGGCACAACCAAGGCCAGCAAUGAUUGGCUACUAGACAGUGGCUGCUCACACCAUAUGGCAGCAGAUGAGAAACUGUUCAAAAGCCUAGACAGAAGCUUCCACUCGAGGAUUAGAAUUGGAGAUGGUAGGCUGAUUGAGGCUAAAGGCAAGGGCAGUGUGUUGAUUAGCACUGGUUCAGGUAACAAGCUGAUCUCAGAUGUGUUUUUUGUACCUGAAUUAGACCAGAAUUUGCUUAGUGUGGGCCAAUUAGUUGAAAAGGGCUAUACAUUGGUUUUUAAGGAUGGUUGCUGUAUUGUUCAAGACAUGAAUGGUCUGGAGUUAGUCACAGUCUCUAUGACUGAUAGGUGCUUCAUGCUGGAUGUUAGCCAAAUAGAAAGAAAGGCAUACACCAGCCUUGUUGAAAGCACUGACUUGUGGCAUAGGAGACUAGGCCAUGCAAAUUUUAGAUCUAUUGAUCUAUUACAUAGGCUGAAUCUGGUUGAUGACAUUUCAAAAAUUGAAGCUAGUGGGAAUGUUUGUGAGGUUUGUCAGCUUGGUAAGCAGGCUAGACUGCCUUUUCCUGCUGACAGUGCUUGGAGAGCUCAAGACAAGCUCGAAUUGGUGCACUCUGAUGUUUGUGGCCCUAUGAGAACACCUUCAAUCAGUGAGAACAGGUACUUUGCCUUGUUUAUAGAUGAUUUAACAAGGUUAUGCUGGGUCUAUUUCUUGAAGCAAAAGUCAGAAGUGUUUGAAGCCUUCUGUAAAUUCAAGGCUUAUGCUGAAAAUCAGUCAGGCUGCAAAAUUAGAGCCUUGAGGACUGAUAAUGGAUCUGAAUAUGUGUCUGAGAGAUUUCAGAAGCUUUGUGACAAUGCUGGGAUUCACCAUCAGCUCACAACAGUCUAUUCUCCUCAACAGAAUGGAGUCUGUGAGAGAAAGAAUAGGACUGUACUGAACAUGGCCAGGUGCCUCUUGUUUCAAGGCAAGCUUCCAAGUCAGUUUUGGGCUGAGGCAGUCAACACCUCAGUGUAUCUGCUCAACAGACUGCCAACUAGAGCAGUCAAGGAUAAGACUCCUUUUGAGGCUUGGCACGGAGUCAAACCUGUGAUAACACACUUAAAAGUGUUUGGCUGUGUAUGUUAUGCACUUAUUCCAGUGGAGAAAAGGACCAAGCUUGAGAGUAGAGCAACUCCAGGAAUCUUUGUUGGCUACAGCAGCAAUAAGAAGGGCUAUAGAGUGUAUGAUCCUACAGCAAAGAAGGUUUUAGUCAGCAGGGAUGUUAAGUUUGAUGAGGAAAAGGUGUGGAAUUGGAAUGGUGUUGUGGCUAACUUGUCUGAAUUGGACCAGUUAGACUUGGUUGAACCUGCAGAAGAAGGACCAAGUAAUGAUGCUGUCGAUGAUAUACCAGUGAGGGGCACCAGAACUUUGGUUGAUGUUUAUCAGAGGUGCAAUGUUGCUGUGAUUGAGCCCUCAGACUUUGAAGAGGCUGCUAAAAACAGAAGCUGGAUGAAAGCUAUGGAAGCUGAGUUGGAAAUGAUCAACAAAAAUCAGACUUGGGAGUUGGUGAGCAGACCAGAACACAAGAGGGUCAUAGGAGUUAAAUGGGUGUAUCGGGCCAAGUACAAUGCUGAUGGCUCACUGAACAAGCACAAGGCCAGGCUUGUGGUGAAGGGCUACAGUCAGCAGUAUGGUGUUGACUACCUAGAAACUUUUGCUCCAGUGGCAAGACUGGAUACAAUUAAGCUACUGUUUGCUUUAGCAGCUCAGAAGCAGUGGAGAGUUCACCAAUUGGAUGUCAAAUCAGCAUUCCUGAAUGGUUUUCUCAAGGAGGAGAUCUUUAUCGAGCAACCUGAAGGUUUUGAAUUUGUUGGACAUGAAGACAAAGUGUAUAAGUUGAGAAAGGCCCUCUAUGGCCUGAAACAGGCACCAAGGGCCUGGUAUGACAGAGUUGAUGCCUACCUGACCAAACUUGGAUUUGCAAAGAGCCUUAGUGAGCCUACUCUAUAUGUUAAAAAGUCAGAACAUGAAACCUUGCUGAUAGUCUCCUUGUAUGUGGAUGAUUUGCUUGUGACAGGGAGCAAAAUCGAGCUCAUUGAUCAGUUCAAGGUCCAAAUGCAGCAAGUGUUUGAGAUGACAGAUUUGAGGAUCAUGACUUACUUCCUUGGCAUGGAAGUGCACCAAUCUGAUCGAGGUAUCUUCAUCAGCCAACACUCAUUUGCUUUGAAGAUUCUAGACAAAUUUUGCAUGCAUAACUGUAAAGCAGUCAGCACACCUGUGGCUCAAGGAGAAAAGCUGACUAGCAGUGGUGAUCAGCAGAGGGUUGAUGAGAGGCACUAUCGAAGCCUGGUUGGUUGUCUGUUGUAUCUAACAGCAACCAGGCCAGAUAUCAUGUUUGGUGUCAGCCUGUUAUCAAGAUUUAUGCAUUGUUGCAAUGAGGCACAUUUGAAGGCAGCAAAGAGGAUCCUUAGAUACAUCAAGGGCACUGCUAGUUUUGGUGUAAUGUUUGAAAGUCAGAACCAACUGAAAUUAGAAGGCUACUCUGACAGCGACUGGGCAGGAUCUCUCGAUGACAUGAAGAGUACCUCUGGAUACUUCUUCACACUUGGAUCGGGUAUGUUUUGCUGGAGUUCUAAGAAGCAACAAACUGUUGCUCAGUCCACAGCUGAAGCAGAGUACAUUGCUGCAGCAGGAGCAGUUAAUCAGGCCAUUUGGCUAAGAAAGCUGCUUUAUGACCUUAAUGAAACUCAAGAUGAAGCAACUGAAAUCUGGGUGGACAAUCAGUCUGCAGUUGCAAUAGCCAAGAACCCUGUGUUCCAUGGCAAGACUAAGCACUUUAAGAUCAAAUUGCAUUUUGUUAGAGAGGCUGAACAAGCAAAGGAAGUCAGCCUUGUGAAUUGCAGCUCAGGAGCACAAUUGGCUGACAUAAUGACCAAGCCCUUAGGGGCUGCUCGAUUUGAAUCUUUGAGAAGUGCAAUUGGAAUGUGUUGCAUACAGUCCAAGGAGGAGUGUUGAAAGCUGGACUGCAAUGCAACAUGGAGCCAAAAGCUUGCUACUAUCGAGACCAGCAGCUAUCGAGCUCAGCUCGUUUUGCUUGGUGCGCACGAAUGGUUUUUGAACUGAAUGAAGCAACCAACUUUGCUGUUUUGUUUUGAUGUAAUUUGAUUCAGUUCAACUUUAGUUUGUUUGUAAUGCUAGUUAAACUUAAGUUAGUGACAUGAUCUUUUGAUGUAAUGGCUGAUUGGUCAGCUAUGUUUGAUUAUUUUUGGCUAGUGAUUAGGUUUGUAUUAGUUGGGGCAGUUAAAUACAUUAGGUAACUGUCAAUGUACAAUUGUAACUCUUUUAUAUAUUUCAAGUUGAAUGAAAAAUGAGGUAUGUUCAGUCACAAACAUUGCUGAGUAUUUUGAUUUUUGAUGCUUUGCUUGCCUUGAUUCUUCUUGCUUCAGUCUUGCAAACAUUGAGUUGCAAAUUUGCUUUGAUGUUUGCUGCUGUCAUUGUUCCAACAAAAUCACAGUUUGACAGACUCAACACACGCAGGUUGGAAAGUACAAGAGAUGUGGUUUCACACCAUUUAGCACUUUGAGUAGAAAUGUCCACACUAUCCAAAUAAAGCUAUGUGAGAAACCUCAAAUUCUUGAUUAAUGUCUUGAAGUUUGGAUUCUCUAAUUUAAGAGGCUGUUGAAGUUCGUAAGGCAAUGAAAAACGGUUGUAGAAGCCAGGGUAGAGAACUUUGUAAUAUCUCAAAUAACAAGAAUCUUGAUUGGACAGAUCAAGAGAGACUAACCUUUUUAGGAAUGAGAUCUCCACUGGAAUUUGGCCAUGGAAACAUGAGCUUGAAAGGUUGAGAUGAGUUAGAUUUUGGAGUUUAUCAAACCCAUAGGAAAACAGAGUGGUAUUAAAGUUGUUUCCAGCAAGAUUAAGGCGUUGAAGACGAUGGAGAUUGAAUAUGAGGUGAAAGCUGCCUGAAAGGUUUUUGUAACUAAGAUUAAUGCCAACGACAUGACCAUAAGCAUCACAAGUGACUCCUUCCCAAGAGCAGCAAUCAGUGUUGGGGUGCCAAAGCUCAAAUUUGGAAGAGAAAGUAAAAUGAGGGGCAUAGAAAAGAUGAUGUUGCAAUUGCAGCAGAGGAGAUCUCUGGUCAUCAAGGCAUUGCAUUGGGAGAUGAGUUUGAGGAGGUGAAAAAGACAAGAGAAGAGGAAGGAAGCAUGAGAAGAGAAAGAGUGAAGAAAUAAGGGAAUGAAGAGUGUUCAUGUUGGGUGGGUGUGAAGGACGAUUGUGCUUGGCAUACAACUUAUUUAUGAGUGAUUGGCAUUGCAUGCAAUUUCUGAGUCAUUUUGCCAAAUCAAGACUCCAUCAAAAUACUGUUCCACCAAUUUAGUUAAGUCUUUUUGGUCAAUUUUUUCCAACAUAGGAUAAUAAUUUAUUAUUUAAAGCUGUUAGUGAUGAUGCAUAAAUUAUUUAUUGUUAGUAUUAGAGAUAAGUUGUUAAAUUCACACUUAAUUUACUUUAUGUCUUUCCUUUUUGUUAAUUUUAAUUUUGAAGAAUGAGAUUUUAAUAUUUUAUGGAUCUCAUUAAAUUAUUAAUGCCAAGGUUGUAGUUUUCUUGCCCACUCCUUACUCUAUAUAAAUAAUCAUCUAAAUCUAAGUUAUUAAAAAAGACUAAAUUAUAGCACUUUAAACCCUAUUAGAACCAUUACUACGCAUAGGAUGAGCAAAUAUGAUAAUUCAACUGAUAUUUUGAGUUUAAAUUAUAUAUUUUAGGUAUCGACUUUUUAGCACAAAAAAUCCAUGUUACAAAUAUUUUAACUUUAAUUUAUUUUAAACUCAGGUAAAUUUUAUCAUUUUUAUGUUAUAUAUAAUUAUUUCUACAACAUUUAAUUUUUUUUUAAAUAAAAAAAUUACAAUUUAAUUUUUUAAGUAAACUAUGUUAUAGCACCAAAAAUAUAAAUUUUAACUUAUAAUAUAAAAUCAAUUUUUUAAGAUGAAAAGAUCACUUUUGAAGGGACAUGGACGGAAGCGUCAGUCCUGUAGUACGGAGAAACGAUAAAUAUUUGUUGAGAAGGCUAAAUGCGGAUUCUAAGCCUCAUGAGCCCUUUUUGGGAAUCUCGACAACAUUUGGCUAAAUGAAUUUAAUGGCUCAUGCUUUUUGGGGAAAAAUAAAUAAACUUAAUAAAAAUGAAAUUUUAUUGAAUAAAUGAAAGAAACAAAUGCUAAAGCUUUUUGGGAGAGAGAGCUUUUACAGAAAAGAUGAGUUAAAUCUGUGUCACUCCAUCCCCUAUUUAUAGUACUCAAAAGACCUAGUUUAUUCCUUUCUAAAUUCUAAAAGAUAAAUAAAGAUAAAAGCUAGAAUUAAAUCUAAAUAAUAAUCUUAACAAUAAUCCUAAUAUAAUUAAAAUUCAAAUAGAGUCUUGUGUUUAUAAAAUCUCUUCUUUGAACUAUUGCCCCCAAGUCUUCCACACUUUGCAUUUUCGGCACCAUUUCUUUCCUAUUUUGCAUCCUGACCCAUUUUAUCUUCAAAUUCAUGAUUUUUGCCCCUAAAUUUUAUUUUUCCUUCAAUUUAGUCCCUACAAUAUAAAAACCAUAAAUAGCUCAAUUUAGUAGGAUCAUACUCAAAAUAAAAUAUAUAAGUAAUUAAUACAUAAAGAUAUGUCAUUCCAGAGUAUUAUCAACAACGUUCAACCAUUGUGUACAAAUCAAGUCACAUUAUAAAGACAAAAUUAUAGUAAGUUUCUUAGUUGGAUGAGUGGAAAUUUUGAUGAUACAAUAUAUACAACUUUUCACUUUUGAAAGAAACAUUUUUAAAUUUCGGCUUUCAAACUUUCUUAGACUGUAUUUGGAGGAGAAAUUUGGAGAAAAAAUUUCAUUUCUAUAUUAUUAUUUAAUUUUAAUAUUUCUUAUGUUUUAUAUUAUUAAAAAUAUUUAUAAUUUAAUUUCGAGUUGUAUUUUACAAUUUAAAUAACUCGAAUAAUUCAAACAAAAAAUUGGUGUACAUGCUCCUUUGGUCCUUGUCAAUUUUAAAAUUUAACAACUUGAUCUCUCUCAACCAAAAUUACAAAAUAAUUUAAAAUAAUUUUCAAAAUAUUCAAAAUAAUUUUUAAAAUUCAAAAUAUUCAUAAAAAUUCCAAAAUUUUAUAUUUUUAAAAAUUAAAAUAUUUUUUUUUAUUUUUCAUUUUUGGGGGAGAUGAGAUUGAGAAAGAGAGGAUGAGAAGAGAAAGAAGAAAGGUAGAAAAGGUGAAACAAGGAAAUGGAGUCUCAUGUUGGUUGGGUAUGAAGAAAGAUUAUUUUCAUGCAACAUUUUAUACAUAAAUUUGUAGUUUCCAUAAAACAUUAUCUUUUUACUUAAUAAUUAAUUCCAAUGCAUAUCAUUAUUUACAAAAGUAAAGGUAAUAUGGAAAUUUUUUGAAAUAUUUUAAUUAAAUCCUUAAGUUAAUUAUGAUGAUUCAAUGUGCAAACUAUUUAAAUUUUGGUUAAAAUAUGUUGUUAGUUCUUGUAUUUUGGUCAAAUUUAAGAUUUAGUUCAUAUAUUUAAAAAGUUAAAAAUCUCAGUGCAAUCAUUAAAUCGCAAGUAUUUUUUGUAAAACUUGUCAACUUGAAAUUUUGAUUAAUGUGUCAUCUUAUGGCGUGACAUAUGAUUGAUGAAAAUAAACAUAUUAAACUGAUAAAUUUUGACAAAAACUAUCAACGAUGAUAAUGGCUUGAUUAUGAUUUUUAAAUUGAAAAAGUAGAAGAAUUGAAUUUUUAACUUUUAAAGUAUAGGGAUCAAAUAUUAAAAUUAAAAAUUAAAAAAAUAUGUUAAUUUUUUAAAAAAAUACAUAAAAUUGGAGUAAAAUGUUUGACAGGCGUGUGGAAAUAUUGCAGCCUAUUGCCCUAUUGUUGCUUUAUGCAAUUAAUCUUUUAUUGGCCAAAGUAAUUCCAAUUUCCAAUUAUAUAAUGGUAACCACUAAAAGCAAAAGUAGUGGGAAACAUCCACCAAAUCAACAAAGAGAAACUGCAAAAUCAUUGAUUUCAAACCCAUUUAAUUUCCAUGAAUCUUCCCCAUAUAUUAAAGUCAUCCUAAAUUACAAUUUUAAAAUUUUUCAUACUCUCUUCUUAGUCUUCAUAUCAAUUUCUUCAUGUUUCACACUUAUUUUGCUUUACCAAUGUCUUUUUUGUUUUUCCAUUUGUUAAUUCCAAUUUUGAGCAUGAUAUUUGAUUGGAAUUUGUUGGGUUGUUUUCUAGUCACCAUCAGCCCGACUUUAGGGUAGUUUGGGAAUGUGGCCGUUUAGGGCUCUAAAAAUUUCUUUUUUUGAUACAAUGCCUAAAACUACCCAGUCUCUCCCCAAUCCAUAAAUAGGAGGAUAAUGCACUUCGGCGUACUCGAACCCACGUCCUUCUGUUAAAAUAAAAAUUUAAGUAAAAUUAUAAAACUAAUCCCUACAAUUUUUGUUUUGAAUGAAUUUAAUUCUUUUGGCUUUUAUUUCUACCGGGGAUAGUUUCGUUGAAGUAAAUGAUUUCUUCUCUUAGCUAAGUAAUUUUCUCUCGCAUUAUGAGUACUUCAUAUUUGCUUCUUUAAAUUCAAACCAGAGUCAUAUCACAGCAAAGGAUGAUGAUGAAGCUAUUAGUCUUAAUGGAUGAAUUAUUUAUUCUUAGUCUUAGCAUUAAGGUUUUCAAUUCACAUUUAAUUUGCUUUUGCAUCUUCAAUUUUUUAUAUAUAAUUUUUUUUCAAUUCUAAUUUUGAAAUAUGAGAUUUUUUUGGUCUUAGUGUUCUUAUUGAUGCCAAUAUUUUAGUCUUUCUGUCUCAUCCUUAUUCUAUAUAUAUAUGAAAAUUUUCUUAUAUCUAAAUUAUUAAAAAGACAAAAUAGUAGCAAUAAUAACAUAAAACCUUGUUGGAGUCAUCACCACGCAGAGAAUGAACUGUGUCACCACUCCUGCUGGUUAAAUUAAGGAAUUGCAAGGCUGUAUGAUCCACAGGAAAGACAACCCAUGGUUGCACAUUAUUCAGGUCCCAUGUCUGCAACUAUGGCUCGACCAUGAUUAGCUAAAGAUAAUUCAACCACACCCUCUCCUAUAACCACAUUAAAAAUAGUUACAUUGAUGAUAAAGUCCUAUAAACCUGAAAUUUUUUAUAGUAAAAUCAUUCUAUUCUUAAGAUUUAUGAUCAUAGACUUAACCAUAAAACUAAAAAAUUUUUGCCAACGCUAUGCUUUCUCAACAUCUUGUAAGUUCUUGGACGAUGUGAAUCUACCAACACCAAGCUAUACCAUGCUCAGGGGCUGCAUAAAUUGCAAGAUAUAGAAGUAAAUAAGUUAUAUACUCCUGGUAAAAUAUAGAGGGAAAAUUACAAACUAGUGGAUUAAUCUUGUUAAGAUCAUUGUCAAGAUUCUUAACAGUGUCUCACAUGCCAGUGAGGUCAACUGCUGGUGGCACUCCAGUGUAAUUCUAAGAUAAUAAGAUUUCAUGCAAAUUACAUUUAGAGAACAUGAGCCACCUUAAACAAGAUGCAGACUUGCUUCGGUGAUAAGCCUUUGCACCUUAUGCAUAUCCAAUCUGUACUUUAUGUUGGCAAUGCACGUUUUCUUUUCCAUAGAAUAGAUAACAAACUGCAAUCAACACGCCUUACUGUCUUCUUAGACCAUGAGCCUGAAAAUUAGAACAUGAAGCUUCUCAUUUAUCUACCAACAAGUAUGUCUUUCAUAUGCUUAAACUUAAUUCAAGCAUGAUUAAAGAAGAUGUCAAGGAAAAGAUAAUUAGUUAGAAACUUUUACCAUUGUUUUCAAAGAUAAAGUUAACGAUCUUUGCUUGAGCUUGUCCUGUUUCAAAGAGGCACAUCUAGCAGUGGUGUCUCUUUGCAGAAUCACUCUGUUAAAUGUGGCUUUCAUCAGCAUCAACUCAUCAUAUUAUCUUCCAAGCUGCACAAAAAUAAUUUGAAAAUAAAAUUCUGAACUAAAGAGUAAAUUCAUAUUAAAGAAGGCUUGGAAAAGCCAUGAUCCUUGUUUAUAAUAUAGCAUUAUUGGCAUGAAAGUUCAAUGCUAGAGACAAAUUACGUACCCCUAAUGGCUCUGAAUUGAAGCAAAAAAGAACCUCACAAGGGAGUUGUUGUUCCAAUAGGGUCGGAAGCGUGUAAAUUAUUGUACUAAAAAAUCACACAAAGUUCAAUUCCCAGGGAAGAGAGGUGGAUCACAAGGAUCUCUUAAAUACCAAGUCUUUCCUUAGACAGAAUAUCCCUUCUAUAGUAAUUUAAUAGCACAAUUAAAUACUACUAUUAUACCCUCAAAUAUUGAAAGAAAAAUAGGACAAGAAAAAACACAAGAGUUUUAACGAGGUUCGGUAAAUUAUACCUACGUCCUCGAGCACUAACACCAGAUGAUAACUUUACUAUCUUCAAAGUAUUACAAACAAAUAGAAUUCCUUAAGAAUUCUCAAAUGAGAGAAGAGAGAAAACUAAGAGAGAAAGAUUGGUUGGGAUGAAUUGAAAUGAGAAAUGAGAAGGCCUAUUUAUAGUUGAGGUUUAAGGACCAAACAAUAAAUAGCCCAUUAUCUCAAGGACCAAAAAAAAAUUAUCCCAUGCCACUUUUUCAAAGUCAACUUUAGGGUGCUAAACUUGCACCACUUUGUAUUGUUUGCCAUUAAUGUUGUCUCCCAUUAAUGUUAACAGGAGUUUCUUGAUAUUAGAUUUUGCAUAUCAAGUAUGCUGCUCAUGUUCAACUCACAAUAUUCAUAGAGCAUUCCAAAACUCAUCCUUACCAUAAAUGAGUUCGAUUAAAUUAAAGAAGAUUGAUAGUCAAGACAUUGGGGAGUUUUGCCCCUGCUACAAAAUCGAGAGAGAAAAAAAAAACAAUUUCAGUAUCUGGAUUUAAGAAUUAUGGAUUAGUUGCUCUAACAGAGGAAUGCUUCCUAGGAAAUAAGUUAUAGAAAGGAUUUACAUGAAUCGUAUAGAAGUGAGUAUAUGUAAGUGCAUCAUCACAAACAGCCAAGGACCCUUUUGUCGCUUCUUUCAUUGCUCUUUUCGAAGAGUCUUUUGGAGUUGCAAACCUAAUCCGGCAUUGCGAAAUGAUAAAAUGAAUGUCAAUGCUACAAGCCUACGACUACAAAUACCAUAUGAUAGUGAAGUGUGUCAAGGGACAAAAAAUAAGCUUAGGAAAUUCAGAAUUAGUUUGUAACAUCAAUCUUUUCAAAAUAUAAGCCAACGACUACAAAUACCAUAAGAUUUUGAAUAAUUUGUGAAAGAUAAUGGUUCUUGCAGUUUUUUAAUUUUAGUUAUUAAUAUUUUUAUCACUUUUCAAAGAUAAAUUAAACAAGUGCUUUAGGUUGUUUGCCAACUCUGGAAAGCACACCACAUUGUAAUUAAGACAUCAUUUCGAAUGCCAAAUUGGAUUGAGUCCCUUACUUUAUAUCCACUACUCUGCAUUCGCAUUCAAAUAUAAACUGGCUUUUUAUUGGUUGAAUUGGAUUCGAUAUAUAAACAAUCAAUUUUUUCUUGAAAAAAUCAUUUAAUUGAACAUUGUAAGUAUUAGUUAACUCAACAGUGUCCGAUUAAUUAUCUGAUUUUGUAUUGAAAAUCAUAUAAUAAACAUAUCGUUGUUAAAUAGAUGGGUUUGGAUUUAUUUUUUUCAUUAUCCAAUCCAAGUGUUCUAAUUGAUGCCAAUGCCAAUGUUUCGGACGCUUAAAAUAUUUGGGUUUAGAUUUUUUUUUUCAUGUAUUUGAUGCUUAAAAUAUUUUAGAUGCGGGCCGUCUCGAUUUUAUAUCAUAAUUGUUUAUAUAUAAUUUAAAUUUUUAAAAUGUAAAAGUGUACCAUUAAAAUCUUUUAAUUAAACUUUGGUAUAGCACCCAAAAAUAUAUUAACUUAUAUGUGAAAUCAAUUUACCAAUAAGCAUUUUAGUCCUAAUUUAUUAAUGAGUAUGCAACUUAUGAAUAUGUUAGGAUUUAUCAAAGGGUUAAUUCACUUGAUGUCCCUAAACUAUGGAUUAUAUGUUAAAUUGAACUCUAAACUUCAAAAAAAUAUAAAGCCCAACACAUGAUUGAUAAAAUAUAAAGCUAAUGUCUCUUUGGAAAAGCAAAGGGUGGAAGUAGCAGCGUAUGCGUCUUUUUACACAAUCAGCCCAAUGUCCAUCAGAUUAGGCUUUCAUCAGCAUCAAGCCAUCAAAUCUCCUCAGCUGUUAGGAUCAUUGUUAGGAUCACUGCCUAGAUUCUUCAUGUACCUCAUAACUGUUCAUUCCAUGUCUUGGAUCAAGUACCUAUGCACUUCAACAAGGUAAAUUUGUCAUUGCUACAAGAACAAAUACAAUAUGAUAUGAUAGUGAACUUUGUCAAUAUAUAUUAAGAGAAAAAAUGCUUGUAGUCAUUGUCGAAACCUUUUUGGAAUAAAAUAUAACACACUAAAAAUGAUAGGGACCGAAUAUGAAAAUAUCCCUUGUCCUUAUGCGCACCGUUUCUCAAGGACUAAAAUGAAAUAAAAUUAAAAUUUUGUGGUAAAAAUAACAUAAAACCCAGACCAACAGGUCCACCCUUUACAUCCAAAUGAGCAUUUUGAGCACUAAUUUAUUAAUGAGUAUGGAACUUAUGAAUAUGUUAGGAUUUACCAAAGGGAUAAUUCCUUAAAUUAUGGAUUAAAUUUUAAAUUGAUUUUUAAAUUUUAAAAAAAAUUAAUUAAGUCCUCAUACUAUAAAUCACAUUCUCAUUUGAAAUUUUUAAUUUUGGACUAAAAAAAGAGAAUAUUAGUGUGAGAUAUUGUUGGCCUUUGGCUAACAUUGGAAAGCAUACUAGAUUAAUUUUAAGACAUAAUUUAUUUCAUUAAAUUUUAAUUAUUUUUAUUUUUAUCAUAUUAUUACUUAAUUCAACAAUAUUUUUUAAAUUAAUUUAAUUUUUUAAAUUAAUAAACUAUCAUUGAAAAGAUAAUUAAUUAAACCACUUAUUUUAUUAUUUGAAAGGUCGAGAAAUUGUAAAUUUUUUUGACUCUUUAAGAACUCUAGAAACGCACUUAUGUUACAGGAUCCCAGAUACAAUCGCCUCAACAUUGGGAAAGAGAAGUUUGCAUCACUUAAGGGAAGUUGUUUUGGAAAAUCAAUCAUAUUGAAAGAAAGGUAUACCUGUGAAAGAGUGCUCUUCCACAACCAAUUAGGCACAACACCAUGGAUAUGGUUGUUAGAAAGAUCCAGAGAAAUCAACUUGUCUUGUGUUUUGAUGAAUUCUGGAAAUUCAGUAAGGUUGCAUGAACUUAGCCUUGGGCUUUCUAAUAGGGGAAAACUAAGACUUAUGUUGUCACUUUCAAUUAAGAAGCUUAUAUGUUUGCUUUCAAUUUAAAACCAUUUAUUAUGUUGAUUAAAUCAUAGUAUUAAUUGUUAUUCAAAUUUAAAAUAAAGAAAUUAUCUUAAAUUUAAAAAGUAAAGUAGUUAAUUGAUUCCAAAAGUCUAGUCCAUUAUUUAUAAAACAAAAAAAAAAUAUUUCUCAAGGUAUCUAGUCAGUAAGUAAAUAUUUGCAUUUUGUAAGCCCAUUUAAAGAGUAGAUGCCACGAGUUUUAAAGUUGCUUCAUACUUAAGGCGAGGAUCAAACCCUCGACAUUACUAUAAAUCAUAUUAAUUAUGAUAUUUUCGUCAUUUUGCUUCAUCUUUAUUCUGUAUGAAUAAUAUUCCAGUAUUUCAAUUGAUUUGCCUCAAACUAUGAAUCAGAUCUAAAUUAGUAUCUAAACUUUAAACUAUUCUAAUUAAGUGUUGAAACUAUGAUUAAUAGUUUGAGAGAUUAGUCAUGCAAGCAAAUGUUCAAGUCUUUUGCCUCCUCAUUACUGCAUGAGUUGAACUACUUCGUUUAUAUCAAGUCAUUAAAAAGCAAAUAUAAAUAUUAUUGUCCUUAAUGCAUGCAGAUGCAAUUGUUGAGGUCCUUUUGCGAUAUCAGUAAUGCAUGAAAAUUAUGAUCAACCACUUUGUUGAAGUCUUAUUCUCCUUAUUAAUGCUAAUGUUUCAGUCUUUUUAAGUCUAAGCAUUAUUAUUAAAGUCCAAAACAAAUAAUCAUAUGUUGAAAUAUGUUCAAUAUUUAAAUUUAGUACAUAAAAAUUUAAAAGAAAUCAAAUAAUAGAUUAGAUAUUAAAAUUUGUUGAGUCAAGUUUUUGGAUAUUGCUUAUAGGAAGUAGUCACUUCUAUAACCCUCGCAACAAUUUUAUACUCAUCAUAUUUGAUGUUCGCGAUUUAUUGAUAUAAAAUUUUUAGACAUUAAAUGGUGUUAUUAUUCUAAAUAUAUGCAAGCUCGACUUUGAAAUCCAACUUAUUUUAAACAUCUUCCCUUUUUUGUUGUGGAGAAUGGACCGUGAUUACAUUGAAAAUACCAUUGAAGAAUGAUAAUUAAAAUAAUCAUAUUUUAUACUAUAAAAUAUUUAUUAUUGAAUAUUUAUAAAAUAUAUAUAUUUUUCUCAUUAAAAUAUCAAUAUAAAUAUUUUUUAAUAAUAUAUUAAGAAUAUUAUUUAAAAUUAAAUUAAACUAUUAAAAUUUAUUAAUAAAAUAAAAUUAUAAUAUUAAAAUUAAAAAUACAUUACUAAUAUAAUUAUAUUAAACUUGAUUCAAGUUAGUUUUUAUAUAAAAAUAAAAAUAUUCAUAAAUAAGCUUAGUUCGAUAAAUUAAUUAUGUUUUUCAAAAAGACAAAUUAAUUUACAGAAAAAUGAUAUUAUUUAAAUUUCCAUACUAAAAUACUUUUAAAUUUAAUUAAAAUUAUCAAAGACUAAUGAGAUUCACAAAAUGUCUCAUAUUAUUUAACAACUUCUCAAUUUUUUGAAAAAAUCAAUUUCAUUCUCUCUCUUUUUUUUUCAAAAUUUAUCAACCCUUGAAACACAAAAAAUUUAAUAUUUUUAAUUUUUGACUGACAAAAAAAAUGAUGCUAUGAGAUAUUUUUUAUAUUAUUAGACCUAAUCUUAAUCUUUGGUAUUCCAUGCAAAUGUCUAAAUCUUCUUAGGGAGAUGGAUCGAUGGACAUAAGUAGUGGAAAUUUUGAUGAUACAAUUCUUCUCUUCUUAACAAUUUCUUUCAAAGAAAUAUAUUUAAAUUUCCACACCAAAACUUCUUUAGAUUUAAUUUAAAGGAAUAAAUCCUAAAAUUAUAAAGUAUGGAUUAAUGUGUAAUUGUAUACAGGAAUUUGAAUUUUGUGCAAUGUUAUACAUGAAAUUUUGAUUUGAUCCAAUUCUUAUAAUUUAUCAACACAAUUAUUGAUAUAAAAUCAUUUUAUGUUUAUAUAUUAUAUACAUAAAUAAUUAUAUUUAUCCAAUAUAAAAAUAAAUUGAUGUAUUUAUUUCAUUAAAUGCGUAUGAUUAAAUCAAAAUUAAAGUUCAAAGUAUAUAUUUGAACCACAAUUAGAGUUCCACGUGUAUAAUUACUCCAAACAAAAGUUCAUAUAUACAAUUACACAUUAAAUUAAAGUUGAUAUGUAAUUUUGAGAUUUAUUCCUAUUUGAAAUUAUCAAAGACAAAUGAGAUUAACGAGAUGUAUUAUAUUAUAAACAAAGUUUCAAUUCUUUGAGAAAGUUAAGCUCCAAUUUCAAAAGUUUUUUUUCAAAGUUUAUCAAAUGAAUUCAAAUUUUAAAUCUAAAAUAUGGAUUUUUUUUUAUCUUUUUUAAAUCUAAUGUCAGUUCCAAUUUUCUAGUGUUUUAGAUUGUUUACUAAACUAAAAAGCAAACCACAUUGUAAGGCAUCAUUUCUUUCAUUAUAUAUAUUUUUUUUUACGUAGACACCAAAUUUCAUCGGGAUACAAAUCAGCAUUUUGUGAUAAACUCAAUUUAACUCAACUUUAAUUGUAGCAAAGCUUCUAACCGGGGGCUCUUUUUCCACCAUUUUUCUUCAACACAUUCGGCUCCCAGCUCUCUGGAGGCAUCCUCCAUCACUGAACAUUCUUCACUCACCUUCAUCAUUGCCACCACCAACCACAUCAGCAUCAACAUCAUCAUCUUCAUCUUCAUGGAUACGAUUUCUAUAUCAUUGCACAACGUUUAAAGAACUUCGAUCCUAAAAAGGAUACUUCUAAAUUCAACCUUGUUGAUCCACCUGUGAGGAACGCAGUUGGAGUGCCUGUGAAUGGAUGGGCAACCAUUAGAGUCGUCGCUGAUAAUCCAGGUAAACACCCUUCUUCAUCAUUUCAAUUACUGUGAUUCCAUUACCAUUUUUUUUGUUAUUAGUAUUUUUCUUAAUCAUUUUCAUAGUAUUGUGGCAUACCAAUUCUUCCCUGCAUCUGGGAAACUAGUUUAAUGCUCUGUUUCAUUGGAUAAAUUUCCCUAAAAAGUAUGUGCACAUUGUAAUACUAGUGUGAGAUAGUGUUGGCCUUUGGCUAACAUUGGAAAACAUACUAGAUUGUAACACUAAAAUUCUGAUGGAGUCACCUACACCUUACCUUAAACAUGAUAUGCUGGCAAUAAUGGUGAACGUUGUGAACAUGACAUAGUAAACAGGACAUACAACAGUAGUAUUAAAAGUGUCUAAAGCAUGCAAAAUUGUAAGCUUUUAGUAGCAUCAAGAAUAAUAACUUAAAUUUAGAGUCAAUCAUCAUAUUAAAUCAAGAAUAUAAGGUUGAAAGAAAUUAUUUUUAAAAAAAACACAUUUAUGCUUUUUUAUCCUAUAAGCAAUUUAAUAAUGAACAAAUUGAUCUCUCAACAAAAAUUACAAAAUAUUUCAAAAUAAUUUUUAAAAUUCAAAAUAUUUAUAAAAAUUUUAAAUUAUAUAUAUUUUUUCAAUUGUAAGAAUUUUUUUAUUAUUUUGUUUUGAAAAAGUUUUCAAAUGUAUAUAGUUUUAAAUUUAUGUGCUCUAACAUUGAAUUAAUUAUCUUAUAACAAGAUUUUAAUUUGACAUAUUUAAUUUUUUAAUUGAACUUGAAUAAUUUCACUUGAUUCAAUUUGACUCAAAUUUCAUUUCACUCGACUCAAUUUGAAAAAAUGUCAAAUCAAGUUAGGAUGAUAAAUAGGACUCAUCAGUUCAAUUAACUCAAAAAUUUUUCACUUGAUUCGAUUAAACACUCAUAAAAAUCAUCAAAAAUAAAUGAGACAGAGAUAAUUUGCUGAAGGAUAAGAUGAAAUGUGUUUUAGAAAUUAACAUUUUUUUUCUUUCGCAUGCAAGCUAAUGUUCAAGUCUUUUUACCCAAUAAUGAGUACUCCUAAAUCCUAAUUAUUAAGUAGUAUCCAACUUAUAAAUAUGUUAUGAUCCACCAACGGGUUUAAUUAAAUCCAACACCCCAAAUUAUGGGCUCAACUCUAAAUUCAAGAUUUGGCAUUGCAUGUAAAUGUCUAAGUCUUUGCCCGAUCCUUACUAUAUGAAAACAAUGGUUUACCACUUUGUUUAAGUCAAGUCAUUAUAAACACAAAAAUAAAGCAUAUGUGUUAGCUGGUUGAGAUGGAUUGAUGGGAAUAUGGAGUGGAAAUUAUGAUAACCGCACAAUUUCUGCGAAACUUCGAUUGGUACAAAAUAAGUGCGAGGCUGUACCAAAACCCAACAUGUGUUUGAUAAAAUAAAAACCCCAUGUGUCAGCAAACGGUGGGAGUAGCAGCAUGCAGCUGUCUCUUUACACAAUCAGAACAAUGUCCAUCAGAUAUGGCUUUCAUGUUUGCUGGCUGUGAAGGAGGUUGUUUCCAUACAACUUAUUUAUACACAAAUUAGUACUUUCCAUACAUUAUUUUUAAUUUUGGACUAAGCCCGAUCACUAUUGCAUGAAAAUAAUGUUGUACCACUAAUUUUAUUUUAGUCAAUUAAUAAAAAAAAAUGGAAUUGUGGUGAUUUUUUUUAGCUGGUUGAGAUAAAUUGAUGGCUCAAAAACUAAAUUUUCUCAUAACUUUGAUGACUUUUCAAUGAACUUAAAGUGUAUGGAAUCAAUAGAAAUUUAUGGAAUGAGAUAUUAUUGGACUUAGUCUCAGCCUUUUGGCACUGCAUGCAAAUGUCUAAAUCUUUUUUACCCCAUGAAAACAAUGUUUAGCAAGUUUCUUAGGUAGUUGAGAUGGAUUGAUGGGCACAAGUAGCAGAAAUUUUGAUGAUAAAAUGUUUACAGUUUUUCUCUUCUUAGGCGCAAUUUCUUUGAAAGAAACAUAUUUAAAUUUUCACAUUAAAAUUUCUAUAGAUUUAAUUGAAAUUAUCAAAGACAAAUGAGACUGGCAAGAUAUCUUAUAUUAUUAACAAUUUUUCGAUUCUUUGAAAAAAUUAAUUUCAAUUUCAAAAGUUUUUUGAAAUUAAUAAAACUAUCAUUGAAAGGAUAAACAAACUAGUAUAAAAAUAAGUGUCCGGCUGAACUAAAACUCAGACCAACAGGUCCACCCUUUACACCCGGUCCUAAAGCCCAACACGUGAUUGAUAAAAUAUAAAGCUAAUAUCUGUUUGGAAGAGCAAAGGAUGAGAGUAGCAGCAUCUGCGUCUCUUUACACAAUCCGUCCAAUGUCCAUCAGAUAUGGCUUCCAUCAACAUCAUGCCAUUAAAUCUCCUCAGCUGUACAAAUAUUCUGAAGAUAAAAUAAUUGAAGUAAAAGUAAAUUGCAUAUAAAAGAAAGCUUGGGCAGCCAUUUCCUUGUUUAUAAUAUCAUUAUUAGCAUGGAAAUUCAGUAGCAGUGAAACAUUGCAUCCCCCAAAUCCACAGGGACCUGGAUGCAAAAUGAAUAAACACUUAUUUAUACUCAUGGAAAACUACAACAGGAAAAAAGUGCAUAUAAAGCAAAAUUACAAACCAGUGGAUUGAUCUUGUUAGGACCAUUGCCUACAUUCGUCAUGAACCUCACAACUGUACAUUCCAUGUCCUGCUUCAAGUACCUCCUGCAUUGCUCAAUGGUAACAUCAAAUUACAAGUACGAUAUAAUAGUGAACUUGGUAAAGACAGCAAAAAAUGAGGUUAUAUAUAUAUAUAUAUAUCAACUAUCUGUUCAAAUUAGAAAGACAAAUGCUUACCAGCUAAUUUUGAAGAAAGAAUUCUGAUGGAGUCACCUAUAUCUUCUGCUAUUUCUUUUCCCACACUUUUUGAACUUGUCCACCCAUUUGUUUCCCAACUCAUUCAGCACUGUAUAUCCAAUACAUAGCCCAACGACUAAUCCACUAGCAUAACCUAUCAACGCAAUUUUCCAAGUAGACAGAGCAUUUAACCAUGAAUCUUCACCUUCCCCUGGAGGUGGUGGCAUUGGAAGACUAACUUCAUUGCAUUUCCUUGACAAUGGCAGCCCACACAAUUUUGGGUUCCCACGGUAGGAAUCAUUUGUAAAUGUAAUGAAUUGGUUGCUUUGUGGUAUGCUCCCUUCAAGUUGGUUGCAUGACAAGUUCAAUGCUGCCAGGAAAGUUAAACUUGUAAGUUGUGCAGGAAUCUUCCCUGACAGCUCAUUCUGUGAGAGAUCCAAAGAUUCAAGAUCUUUUAGAUUUUCAAGUGCUAAUGGGAUUUCACCAGAAAAGCCAUUGUUGGAUAAGUUUAUCACUCUGAGUGACCUCAGCAUUUGUAUCUCUUCUGGUAUUCUCCCAUGGAAACUAUUGUUGGAAAGGUCAAGACAAGUAAGAAUUGUCAAGACUUUUUGGUACAACAUUUCAAUCCCUCUGUUAACAAUUGUCACAGAGUCUUGAUAAUAAUUCUCUCCGAUAUAAUCCAGCGUAGCCUUUUCAUCAUUAGUCAUCUCCGCCAUUGCCUUCAAACUCUGCAAAAAUUCAAUAGACAAGUCACCUGAAAAAUUGUUGGAAGCAAUGUCCAAUAUGCGUAGCUUUGGAAACCCACGUUUCGUGUCAAUUUUUGAAAUUGUGCCGUAGAAUCUGUUUGCUCGCAAAACGAGAACCUUCAAGGAAGGUAGCUUCUCUAACCAAAAUGGGAAUGUAUCAUGAACCAUAUUAUUUCCAAGGUCCAGAACCUCAAGUGCUGUGCAAUUGGCUAAUGAUCUCGACAGCUUCCCUUCCAAUUUAUUCCCACCUAUUUUGAGUGACCUUAGUCGAGUGGGUUGAAGGAAAUCAAUGGAUAGUUCACCAGAAAACUGGUUUGAAGCAAUGUCCAAUACAUCCAAAGUUGGGAAAACAGAUUUAUGUUUGAAAUGUUUAAUUUGACCAUAAAAUCUGUUUUCCCGCAAUAUUAGAACCGUCAAGUAAGGCAAUUUCUCCAACCAAAAAGGGAAUGUAUCAUUCAUCUUGUUGCUUCCCACGUCCAAAACUUCAAGCUGAGUGCAUUCAGCUAAUGAUCUGGGCAACUUUCCUUCCAAUCUAUUCUCACUAACUUUGAGAAACGACAGUUGGGUUGCUUUUGAAAAUUUUGGCAUCAUUCCACUGAAGUUAUUUCCUUGCAGAUCCAACGAAUAGAGAGCACUCAUAUUGCCCAAGCAAUUCGGAAUUGGGCCACUCAAACUGUUAUAAGAUACAUCAAAACGGCCGAGUCGACUCAUUUUGCAUAACCAAUUUGGAAUUGGGCCACUCAAAUUGUUAGAAGAUGCGUCGAAACUGAAAGGCCCCUGUGAAAAAUUUGAACUCUGAUUGGGUAGAAGUUGUUCCAAAGACGAGAGAUGGUUAUUAGCAAGAUACAGAUACCGCAAACUUUUCUUCCACACCCAGUUUGGAAUUGCACCACUUAUUUUAUUAUUUGAAAGUUCGAGAUAUUCCAAAUUUUCUUGACUCUUUAAGAACUCUGGAAAUGAGCUUAUGUUACAAGAUUCCAGAUACAAUUCCCUCAACAUUGAAAAAGAGAAGUUUAAAUCACUUAAGGGAAGCUGUUUUGGAAAAUCAAUCACAUUGAAAGAAAGGUUUACCCUUAAAAGAGUGCUAUUCCACAACCAAUUAGGCACAACACCAUGGAUAUGGUUGUUAGAAAGAUCUAACACAACCAACUUGUCUUGUGUUUUGAUGAACUCUGGAAACGCACUUAUGUUACAAGACCUCAAAUGCAAUACUUUCAACAUUGGAAAUGAGAAGUUAGCAUCAUUUAAGGGAAGCUGUUUUGGAAAAUCAAUCAUAUUGAAAGAAAGGUCUACCCAUGAAAGACUGCUCUUCCACAACAAAUUGGGCACAACACCAUGGAUAUGAUUGCUAGAAAGAUAUAAGUCAACCAACUUGUCUUGCCUUUUAAUGAAUUCUGGAAAUUCAGUAAGGUUGCAUGACUUUAGCCCUAGGCUCUCUAAUUGGGGAAAAGUAAGACUUCCGUUGUCGCUGUCAAUUAACAAGCUUACGUUGGAUAAGUAGAGACCCUUUAAGUUCUUGAGUUGGACAAACAUGUCAAGCUUCAUGGAACUGAAGCUAUUGUCUCGGAUAUAAAGCCAUUCAAGCCUUGGAAGUUGAAGGAUUGAUUUUGGGAUUGUUCCUUUUAAAUAAUUAUUGCCUAUAUAUAAUUCUUGAAUCAAAGAAGAAGAUGCAUUGGGGAACUCAUCAAUUUUCCCAACCAAUUGAUUUUCUCCAAGAUACAAGAUCUUCAACGAUGGAAGAGUAAAUAAAGAAGAAUGUAUUGAUCCAGAAAGCUUGUUCCCUCCUAGAUAUAGGUUGACCAGGUGACUAAGAUUUGCAAUUGACGAUGGAAUGGGUCCAAAAAAAUUGCAAUCAUCAAGCUCUAAAUUUGUCAGGAACUUGAGGUUACCAAUUGAUUGGGGUAGUUUUUCACUGAAAUUUGUAUAAGAAAGCGACAAACUCUGUAAAGAAUUGUUUGAUGAAAAUUCUGGCAACUGACCCAUAAGUUGGUCAUUAUCUGAAAUGUCAAUGCUUUGCAUUUUUGGCGAUAAGAGAUUUUCAGUUGGAAAAUGGCCACUCAAAUUGCAGUUCCUCUGUUGGUGCAAGAGGCAGCAGCAAGCUGUUUCUAGUCUUGCUUGAGUAGUAAGGCUCGAGGCUUGGUGAAGAAGCAAACUCGGAAGCAAUAAAAAACAGAAAGAUGAAGCUAGCAAGUGAAAACAGAAAAGAGAGAAAGAGAUUGAAUGAAAAUGAGCUGAUAUUUUUCAUUAACACAUGAACAAGGCAUUAAGCCAUUACAUAUAUCAGUCAAUAAGUAAAACAAACAAGUAAUCACCUACUAACAUACCUAACACCACUAAAAUGCCUAGUAACUUGGUAAACUUGAUUGAAAAACAAAAAAGCUUCUACCUAAGCUUGUCAUUCAGCACCUAAUUACAUCAAAAUGCAGCUACCAACUAAGUUUGAUCCUAACUAAAUACAAAACAUUCAAUUAAGGAAACCAAAUGAAUAGCUUCAGCUUGCUGCAUCAAUUUGCUGCUGAAGCACGUUCCUUGCAUGGCCACCUUUGCUGCUACAUGGGAGCUGACUUCAACACUCCUCCUCAGCUUCUAUGCAGCAGACUCCUAGCUUCCUCUUCAGGCUUAGAUAUCUUGAUACACCAAGAGGCUUUGUGAAGAUAUCGGCAAUCUGAUUUUCAGAACUGCAAUGGAUUAGCUCAAUUUCUCGAGCUUGUUCCAUUUCUCUUAUCACAUGGAGUUUGAUGUUGAAAUGUUUUGUCCUGCCAUGAAAGACAGGAUUUUUAGCAAUAGCAACUGCUGACUUGUUGUCACAAUGUAUCACAGUUGCUUCAUUCUGCUGUAGAUUCAAGUCACUCAAAAUUUUUCUCAGCCACAUGGCUUGAUUAACAGCAUUGGCAGCUGCUACAUACUCUGCUUCUGCUGUCGAUUGAGCCACCAUUGUUUGUUUUCUUGAGCUCCAACAAAUCAUAGCUGAGCCAAGUGUAAAAGCAUAGCCAGAAGUGCUCUUCAUGUCAUCCUUUGAACCAGCCCAAUCGCUAUCAGUGUAGCCAAUCAGUUUCAACUCUUCAGCCUUUCUAAACUGUAUUCCAUGGUUUAAGGUACCUUUAAUGUAUCUUAGCACCCUUUUCCCAGCCUUGUAAUGUUGCUGGUUACAGCAGUGCAUGAACCUUGAUAGCAUGCUUACAGCAAACAAAAUGUCGGGUCUUGUUGCUGUCAAAUACAAUAAACACCCAACAAGGCUUCUGUAAUCUGUUUCACAGACAGAUUCAUGUUCCUCCUGGCUCGAUAGCUUUAUGCCAAUAGCCAUUGGUGUGCUCACUGGUUUGCAAUUCUCCAUUGAGAAUUUAGCCAGCACUUUCAAGGCAAAUGUCUUUUGUUUCAAGAAGAUUCCUCCUUCUAUUUGAUUGACUUCCAUUCCUAGGAAAUAUGUCAUCAAUCCCAGGUCUGACAUCUCAAACAUUUUCUUCAUUCUUGCUUUGAAAUCAACCAUCAUAAGCUUGUCUCCUCCAGUCACGAGAAGAUCAUCAACAUAUAGUGACACAAUAAGCUGUGUUUCAGCUCCAUUCUUCUUAACAUAGAGUGUUGGCUCACUAGCACUCCUUUCAAAUCCCAAACUGACCAAAUAUGAGUCAAUUCGAGCAUACCAGGCUCGAGGGGCCUGUUUUAGGCCAUACAAGGCCUUUCUUAGCCUAUACACCAAUUGUUCCUUACCAGGCACUAUAAAACCUGGGGGUUGCUCGAUGUAUAUCUCUUCUUCAAGAAAUCCAUUGAGGAAUGCAGACUUGACAUCCAUCUGGUGGAUUGUCCACUGGUUCUGAGCAGCAACUGCAAUCAGCAAUCUGAUUGUAUCGAGUCUGGCUACUGGAGCAAAUGUUUCCAUGUAGUCCAGACCAUACCUUUGACUGAAGCCCUUUACAACUAGCCUGGCCUUUAGCUUGUUUAAGCUUCCAUCUGCAUUGUACUUCACUCGAUAGACCCAUUUUACACCGAUAGUCUUUCUGUUGGCAGGCUUUUCAACCAACUCCCAUGUCUGAUUCUUUACAAUCAUGUUGAUUUCAUCAACCAUAGCUUGUUUCCAACCUUCAUCUGCCUCAGCCUCUUCAAAACUGCUAGGUUCUGCUAAUGCAACCUGUGCCCUUUCAUAAAUAUCUUCUAGGGGCCUUGUGCCUCUCACAGGCACAUCAUCAACAUCCAUUUCAGGUUCUAGCUGCUCAAGUUCAGCUUGAUUAGGCACUAGGUCUUCUGAAAUUGCUUCUGGCUCAUUUUUCUCCCAAUUCCAGCAGGCUUUUUCAUCAAAGAUGACAUCUCUGCUCACUUGGACUUUGUUUGUCAAGGGAUCCAGAACCCUGUAGCCCUUUUUGACUGAGCUGUAGCCUACUAGAACACCUGGUUGAGCCCUUUUAGAGAGCUUGUCUCUCUUUGCUGCUGGUAUUUGUGCAUAACACAGGCAACCAAACACUUUCAGGUGUGCCAAGGAAGGCUUGAAACCAAACCAAGCCUCGAAAGGUGUCUCGGAUGCAAGAGCUUUAGUGGGAAGCCUGUUCUGAAGGUAAACAGCAGUGUUUACUGCCUCAGCCCACAUGGUCUUGGGCAGUUUCUUCUCAAACAGCAGACAUCUGGCCAUAUCCAUCAGACUUCUAUUCUUUCUUUCAGCUACCCCAUUCUGCUGAGGUGUGUAGACAUUUGUAAGCUGAUGUUUGAUACCAGCAUCAUUGCAAAUGGCUUGAAACUGAGCUGAAGUGUACUCAGUGCCAUUGUCUGUCCUUAUCGAUUUCAGCUUGCAACCUGUUUCUGUUUCUACAGCAUUUUUAAACUUCACAAACACUUGAGCUACCUCAGACUUGUGUUUUAAAAAGAAAAUCCAGCAAAACCUUGUAAGAUCAUCAAUAAAGAGGAUGAAAUACCUGUUUUUGCUGAGUGAUUCAGUCCUCAUCGGGCCACAUACAUCAGAGUGCACCAGCUGUAGUCUUUCAGUAGCUCUCCAAGCUGAAUUUGUAGGAAAUGGCAGUCUUGCCUGUUUCCCCAUUUGGCAGACUUCACACACAUCAUCAUGCUCCACUGAGCUGGUGAAGUUCUCUGCCAUGCCCUCUUUGGCCAAUCGAGCCAUUGAUCUGAAGUUGGCAUGUCCAAGCCUUUGAUGCCAAAGCUUGGAGUCUUCAACAGAGGCUGUGUAUGCUGAGUUUGAGUCAUUUGCCCAGUGAACCUCAAAGCAUUUAUCAGUCAUUGUGACUGUCAUAAGGCUUGAUCCACUUGGAUCAGUAAUAUGGCAUUGUUUAUCCUUGAACACAACAGAAUAACCUUUCUCGAGCAGUUGAGCUAUGCUGAGAAGGUUUCUGUCAAUCUGUGGUACCAACAGCACAUUUGGAAUGAUCUUGUUGCCUGUGGGAGUAGAUAUCAGCACUUCUCCUCUUCCUUCAGCCCUUAUAAACUGACCAUUUCCAACCUUGACCUUGGUUUUAUAACUUCUGUCCAAGGUUUUAAACAAGGAGGCAUCUGGUGACAUGUGGUUAGUGCAACCACUGUCCAGCAGCCAGCCUUUAGAGCAUUUCUUCUCAGAAGCUACACAGGAAACAGCAAAGACCUGUUCUUCUUGGUCACUACUGUCCUCAGCUACUCGAGCUUCAACCUUUGACUGCUGAAAUUGAUUCUGCCUUGGCUUACUUCUGUUUUUGCAGACCCUUUCAACAUGGCCCUUCUUCUUGCAGUGUUGGCAUACUGCAUCUGGCCUAAACCAGCAUCUGUCUUCUGGAUGGCCAGGCUUCUUGCAAUAUCUGCAUGGCUGGUCAUUGCUCCUUGCAGCAUCAGGCUUAGGCCUGUUUUUCCAAGGCCUUUUGCCUCUUUGAGCAUUAGUGCUCGAGGUUUCUCUGGCCUUGGCUUGAAAUGCACCUUCUUGGUGAUCUUCAGCUCUGCUAGCUCUUCUUUGUUCCUGAGCAUAAAAGGUGUUGAUUAGCUCAGUCAAAGAGAUGCUAGCAAGAUCUCUUGAGUCCUCUAGAGAGGAUAUCUUGGCCUCAUAUCUCUCAGGCAAAGUGGAGAGGACUUUCUCCACAAUUCUUGCCUCAUCAAAGUGCUCACCUAGGAGCCUUAUGCUGUUAACCACUGCCAUAAUUCUAUCUGAGUACUGCUUCACUGUUUCUUCUUCCUUCAUCUUCAAAUUCUCGAAAUCCCUUCUCAAGUUUAGCAGCUGCUGUUGCCUUGUUCUCUCAGUGCCUUGAAACUCCUCCUUAAGCUUAUCCCAGGCCUGUUUUGGAGUCUCACAGGCCAUGAUUCUGGUGAAGAUGACAUCUGACACACAGUUCUGGAUGCAGGACAUGGCUUUGUGCCUUUUGGUCCUCUCAUCAGCAUGUUGCCUAAUCUGAGCUACUGUGGGAUUAGCCCUCAGUGGUGCUGGCUCAGUAUCUGUGUUGACAACUUCCCACAGAUCAAAAGCCUGUAGGUAAGUCUUCAUCUUGACCAGCCAUAUGUGAAAGCCUUCUCCAUUGAAGACUGGUGGGGCUGCUGGUGAAAAUCCUGAAGAAGCCAUCAAGUUCUUUGUUUUGAAGCAACAGGUCCACUAAGACAAGAGCUCUCGAUACCAAUUGUUGGUGCAAGAGGCAGCAGCAAGCUGUUUCUAGUCUUGCUUGAGUAGUAAGGCUCGAGGCUUGGUGAAGAAGCAAACUCGGAAGCAAUAAAAAACAGAAAGAUGAAGCUAGCAAGUGAAAACAGAAAAGAGAGAAAGAGAUUGAAUGAAAAUGAGCUGAUAUUUUUCAUUAACACAUGAACAAGGCAUUAAGCCAUUACAUAUAUCAGUCAAUAAGUAAAACAAACAAGUAAUCACCUACUAACAUACCUAACACCACUAAAAUGCCUAGUAACUUGGUAAACUUGAUUGAAAAACAAAAAAGCUUCUACCUAAGCUUGUCAUUCAGCACCUAAUUACAUCAAAAUGCAGCUACCAACUAAGUUUGAUCCUAACUAAAUACAAAACAUUCAAUUAAGGAAACCAAAUGAAUAGCUUCAGCUUGCUGCAUCAAUUUGCUGCUGAAGCACGUUCCUUGCAUGGCCACCUUUGCUGCUACAUGGGAGCUGACUUCAACAUCCUCAAACUGAGAGAAACCAAACGAGAGGAAAUUUCCAAGAAAUUGGGAGGUAAAUAAGAGAUUGGGUUCCAAUCAAGGAUAAGUUUGGAAAGAAAAGAGAGUCUUGAGAGUGAAGAACAUAAUGGACCUUUCAAACCACAGCUUGACAGACUCAACACAUGCAGGUUUGGAAGUACAAGAGAUGUGGUUUCACACCAUUUAGUACUUUGAGUUGAAAUGUCGACACCAUCCAAAUAAAGCUCCGUGAGAAACUUCAAAUUCUUGAUAAAUGUCUUGAAGUUUGGUUUCUCCAAUUUUAAAGUAGCUGAGUUAUAAUCGUAACCAUUUCUCCAAUAGCAAUCAUCUUGAUAAGAUAGGUUCAGAGAGACUAACCUUGUUAGGUGUGAGAUGUUCAUUGGAAUUUGGCCAUGGAAACAUGAGCUUGAAAGGUUGAGAUGAGUUAGAUUUUGGAGUUUAUCAAACCCAUAGGAAAACAGAGUGGUAUUAAAGUUGUUUCCAGCAAGAUUAAGGCGUUGAAGACGAUGGAGAUUGAAUAUGGGGUGAAAGCUGCCUGAAAGGUUUUUGUAACUAAGAUCAAUGCCAACGACAUGACCAUAAGCAUCACAAGUGACUCCUUCCCAAGAGCAACAAUCAGUGUUGACAUCCCAGAGGUCAAAUUCGGAAGAGAAAGUAAAAUGAGGGGCAUAGUAAAGAUGAUGCUGCAAUUGCAGGAGAGGAGCUCUCUGGUCAUCAAGGCAUUGCUUAGGGAGAUGAGAUUGAGGAGGUGAAAAAGACAAGACAAGAGAAAGGAAGCAUGAGAAGAGGAAGAGUGAAAUAAGGAAAUGAAGAGUGUUCAUGUUUGUUGGGUGUGAAGAAGGAUUGUGCUUGGCAUACAACUUAUUUAUACACAAAUGUGUAGUUUUCAUGUUUGGCAUAGCAUGCAAUUUCCAAGUCUUUUUGCCCAGUCAAUACUGCAUCAAAAUAAUGUUCCACCACUUUAGUUAAGUCUUUUUGGUUAACCUUUUCCAGCAAGGGAUAAUAAUAAUAAUAAUACUAAUAAUAAAUAAUUUAUAGCAUAAAUUAUUUGUUGUUAGUAUUAGAAAUAAGUUGUUAAAUUCACAUUUAAUUUGCGUUUUAAUAUAUUAUUAGAGAAUAAUAUAUUAUUGAUGUCAUUUUUUUAAUAUUUAAUAUUUAUGUUUUAUGUUUUAUAUUAAUAAAUAUUUUUAUAAUUCGAGUUUCGAGUUGAAUUUUACAAUUUAAAUAACUCAAAUACUUCAAACAAUAAAUUGAUGUACAUGCUCCUUUGGUCCCUGUCAAUUUUAAAAAUUAACAAAUUGAUCUCUCUCAACAAAAGUUUUCAAAUAAAAUUUUAAAUAAUUUUUAAAAUCAAAAUAUUCAUAAAAAUUCUCAAAUUUAUAUUUUGUAAAAACUAUAAUAAUUUUAAAUCAUAAUGGUUUUAAUUUGAAAAUUUUAAAAUCUUUAAUUUAGGACCAGAAAAAAUUGUAGUAUGAAAUAUUAUAGGCCUUUUAAUUUAGGUAUUAAGUCUUUGGCAUUGCAUGCAAAUGUCCAAGUUUUUAUUGCACAAAAAUAAUGUUUAACCAAUGUGUACAAGUCAAGUCACCUUAUAGAUUGAUGGACACAAUAAGUGGAAAUUUUGAUGAUAGAAUAUAUAGAAUUUUUCACUUUUGAAAGAUACAUUUUUAAAUUUCAGCUUUCAAACUUUCUUAAAGCUUGAGAAAUAUUUUCAUUUCUAUAUUAUUAUUUAAUUAUUAUUUAAUUUUAAUAUUUUAAUAUUUUAUAAUAUUAAAAAUAGUUAUAAUUCGAGGUUCGAGUUGAAUUUUAUAAUUUAAAUAAUUCGAAUAAUUCAAAUAACAGAUUGAUAUAUUUACUCCUUUGAUUCUUGUCAAUUUUAAAAAUUAACAAAUUAAUAUUCUCUCUCAACAAAAAUUACAAAAAUAUAUUAAAAUAUUUUUAAAGUUAAAAUAUUCAUAAAAAUUCUAAAAUUUAUAUUAUGUAAAGACUAUAAUAAUUUUUUAUUAUUUUGCUUUGAAACAGUUUUCUAAUAUUUAUGAUUUCAAAUAUUAAUUAUACUAUAAUAAAAUUUUAAUUUGACAUAUUUAUUUUUUAAUUUAAAUCAAACAAUUUUACACAAUAAUGUUUUUUAUAUACCCUAUAAUUUUGACCAGUCAACACUAUAAACAUAGGUAAAAUACAAAUACAUAAGAGCUCAAAAAUAACACUAAAAAAAACAAUUGUUUGAUUUAUUAGUAGAGAAUUGGAUUUUUAAUUCUAAUGAUUAAAUAUCAAACUCAAACAACUUCAAAUAUAUAUACAUAAAGGAUGUUAUGUAACACUCAUAAAAAUCAUCAAAAAUAAAUGAGUACUCCUAAAUCCCAACUUAUAAAUAUGCUAUGAUCUACCAACGGGUUUAAUUAAAUCCAACACCCCAAAUUAUGGGCUCAACUCUAACACUACACCAGAACAGGCUUUUAGCGGCAUAUUUUGUGGCGUUUGGAUUACAAACGCCGCUAAAAAUCGAGCAUUAGUGGCGCAAAGAAUACAACGCCGCUAAAGAUCUAGCAUUAGCGGCGCUUCUUUUAAAACGCCGCAAAAAGUCGGAUGAAUAGUGGCGUUUCCCGAACAAACGCCAUAAAAAAACAUCAUUAGUGGCGUUUACCACACAGUGCCGUAGAAUCUCAAGACCAACACGCAGUGUUCUGGUCUUGAUGUAUAUUAGAAUUAGUGGCGCUUACGAACAAACGCCGGUAAUGCAUAGUAUUAGCGACGCUUAGCGGAAGCGCCGCAAAAGAUGUUAACCAAAACGCAGAGUUUGGUGUUGAUGUAUAUUACAAUUAGUGGUGCUUAUAAAGAAAACGCCGCUAAUGUAUAGUAUUAGCGGCGCUGAGCGUUAAAUGCCGCAAAACAUCUUAACCAAAACGCAGCGUUUUGGUCUUGAUGUAUAUUAUAAUUAGUGGCGUUUAAGGAAAACGCCACUAAAGCAUAGUAAUAGCAGCGUUUGGUUGUAAGCGCCUCAAAAUAUCUUAACCAAAACGCGGAGUUUGGUCUUGAGGUAUAUUAGAAUUAGUGGCGCUUAUUGGAAAACGCCGCUAAACUAUAGUAGUAGCGGCGCUUGUGGAAAGCGCCGCAAAGUAUCCUAACCAAAACGCAGAGUUUGGCCUUGACGUAUAUUAGAGUUAGUGGCACUUAUUUCAAAACGCCGCUAAUGCUUACUAUUUGCGGCGCUUUGUGGUAAGUGCCGCCAAAAAAUGCACAAUAAAAGGAAAAUACAAAAAGCAAGCCAAUUAAAAAUAAAAAACAAAGGAAGCAAUAAGUAAAUAAAUAAAUAAAAAGGUGACUACCAAUAAAACAUUUUAUUAAAAAUUGAAAAUAAAUAAAUAAAUAAUAAAUGAAACAGUUUGUAAAAAAAAUUGAAGUUAAAUAAACUAAGGAUCAUAUUGAAAUCGGAAUAAAAUUAAGGAGUAUAAAUUGUAAAUAAAAAAGGCUAAUAAGAAUUAAAAUAUAACAUGCUAAAAAGAAUAGGGACCGAAUAGGAGAAUAUACCUUGCCCUUAUGCGCACCGUUUCUCACGGGACUAAAAUGAAAUAAAAUUAAAAUUUCGUGAUAAAAUUAACAUAAAACCUAGACCAACAGGUUCACUCUUUAUUAAUGAGUAUGGAACUUCUGAAUAUGUUAGGAUUUACCAAAAGGUUAAUUCCUUAAAUUAUGGAUUAAAUUUUAAAUUGAUUUCUAAAUUUUUAAAAAAAAAUUUGAUUAAGCCCUCAAACUAUAAGUUACAUCCUAAUUUGAAAUUUUUAAUUUUGGACUAACAAAGAAAAUAUUAGUGUGAGAUAUUGUUGGCCUUUGGCUAACAUUGGAAAGCAUACUAGAUUUUAAGAAAUAAUUUAUUUGAUAAAAUUUUUAUUAUUUUUAUUAUUUUUAUCAUAUUAUUACUUAAUUCAACCAUAUUUUUAAAAUUAAUAAAACUAUCCUUGAAAGUAUAAAUAAACUAGUAUAAAAAUAAGUGACGGGCUGAACUAAAACCCGGACCAACAGGUCCACCCUUUACACCCGGUCCUAAAGCCCAACACGUGAUUCAUAAAAUAUAAAACUCAUGUCUGUUUGGAAGAGCAAAGGAUGGGAGUAGCAGCAUCUGCGUCUCUUUACACAAUCAGUCCAAUGUCCGUCAAAUAUGGCUUUCACCAACAUCAUGCCAUCAAAUCUCCUCAGCUGUACAAAUAUUCUGAAGAUAAAAAAAUUGAAGUGAAUUGCAUAUAAAAGAAAGCUUGGGCAGACAUUUCCUUGUUUAUAAUAUCAUUAUUAGCAUGGAAAUUCAGUAGCAGUGAAACAUUGCAUCCCCCAAAUCCACAGGGACCUGGAUGCAAAAUGAAUAAACACUUAUUUAUACUCAUAGAAAACUACAACAGGAAAAAAGUGCAUAUAAAGCAAAACUACAAACCAGUGGAUUGAUCUUGUUAGGAUCAUUGCCUACAUUCUUCAUGAACCUCACAACUGUACAUUCCAUUUCCUACUUCAAGUACCUCCUGCAUUGCUCAAUGGUAACAUCAAAUUACAAGUACGAUAUGAUAGUGAAGUUGGUAAUGACAACAAAAAAUGAGGUUAUGAAAACCUAUAUAUAUACAUAUAUAUCAACAACUAUCUGUUCAAAUUAGAAAGACAAAUGCUUACCAGCUAAUUUUGAAGCAAAAAUUCUGACGGAGUCACCUACAUCUUCUUCUAUUUCUUUUCCCACACUUUUUGAACUUGUCAACCCAUUUGUUUCCCAACUCAUUCAGCGCUGUAUAUCCAAUACAUAGCCCAACGAUUAAUCCACUAGCAUAACCUAUCAACGCAAUUUUCCAAGUAGACAGAGCAUUUAACCAUGAAUCUUCACCUUCCCCUGGAGGUGGUGGCAUUGGAAGACUAACUUCAUUGCAUUUCCUUGACAAUGGCAGCCCACACAAUUUUGGGUUCCCACGGUAGGAAUCAUUUGUAAAUGUAAUGAAUUGGUUGCUUUGUGGUAUGCUCCCUUCAAGUUGGUUGCAUGACAAGUUCAAUGCUGCCAGGAAAGUUAAACUUGUAAGUUGUGCAGGAAUCUUCCCUGACAGCUCAUUCUGUGAGAGAUCCAAAGAUUCAAGAUCUUUUAGAUUUUCAAGUGCUAAUGGGAUUUCACCAGAAAAGCCAUUGUUGGAUAAGUUUAUCACUCUGAGUGACCUCAGCAUUUGUAUCUCUUCUGGUAUUCUCCCAUGGAAACUAUUGUUGGAAAGGUCAAGACAAGUAAGAAUUGUCAAGACUUUUUGGUACAACAUUUCAAUCCCUCUGUUAACAAUUGUCACAGAGUCUUGAUAAUAAUUCUCUCCGAUAUAAUCCAGCGUAGCCUUUUCAUCAUUAGUCAUCUCCGCCAUUGCCUUCAAACUCUGCAAAAAUUCAAUAGACAAGUCACCUGAAAAAUUGUUGGAAGCAAUGUCCAAUAUGCGUAGCUUUGGAAACCCACGUUUCGUGUCAAUUUUUGAAAUUGUGCCGUAGAAUCUGUUUGCUCGCAAAACGAGAACCUUCAAGGAAGGUAGCUUCUCUAACCAAAAUGGGAAUGUAUCAUGAACCAUAUUAUUUCCAAGGUCCAGAACCUCAAGUGCUGUGCAAUUGGCUAAUGAUCUCGACAGCUUCCCUUCCAAUUUAUUCCCACCUAUUUUGAGUGACCUUAGUCGAGUGGGUUGAAGGAAAUCAAUGGAUAGUUCACCAGAAAACUGGUUUGAAGCAAUGUCCAAUACAUCCAAAGUUGGGAAAACAGAUUUAUGUUUGAAAUGUUUAAUUUGACCAUAAAAUCUGUUUUCCCGCAAUAUUAGAACCGUCAAGUAAGGCAAUUUCUCCAACCAAAAAGGGAAUGUAUCAUUCAUCUUGUUGCUUCCCACGUCCAAAACUUCAAGCUGAGUGCAUUCAGCUAAUGAUCUGGGCAACUUCCCUUCCAAUCUAUUCUCACUAACUUUGAGAAACGACAGUUGGGUUGCUUUUGAAAAUUUUGGCAUCAUUCCACUGAAGUUAUUUCCUUGCAGAUCCAACGAAUAGAGAGCACUCAUAUUGCCCAAGCAAUUCGGAAUUGGGCCACUCAAACUGUUAUAAGAUACAUCAAAACGGCCGAGUCGACUCAUUUUGCAUAACCAAUUUGGAAUUGGGCCACUCAAAUUGUUAGAAGAUGCGUCGAAACUGAAAGGCCCCUGUGAAAAAUUUGAACUCUGAUUGGGUAGAAGUUGUUCCAAAGACGAGAGAUGGUUAUUAGCAAGAUACAGAUACCGCAAACUUUUCUUCCACACCCAGUUUGGAAUUGCACCACUUAUUUUAUUAUUUGAAAGUUCGAGAUAUUCCAAAUUUUCUUGACUCUUUAAGAACUCUGGAAAUGAGCUUAUGUUACAAGAUUCCAGAUACAAUUCCCUCAACAUUGAAAAAGAGAAGUUUAAAUCACUUAAGGGAAGCUGUUUUGGAAAAUCAAUCACAUUGAAAGAAAGGUUUACCCUUAAAAGAGUGCUAUUCCACAACCAAUUAGGCACAACACCAUGGAUAUGGUUGUUAGAAAGAUCUAACACAACCAACUUGUCUUGUGUUUUUGUUGGAACAAUGACAGCAGCAAACAUCAAAGCAAAUUUGCAACUCAAUGUUUGCAAGACUGAAGCAAGAAGAAUCAAGGCAAGCAAAGCAUCAAAAAUCAAAAUACUCAGCAAUGUUUGUGACUGAACAUACCUCAUUUUUCAUUCAACUUGAAAUAUAUAAAAGAGUUACAAUUGUACAUUGACAGUUACCUAAUGUAUUUAACUGCCCCAACUAAUACAAACCUAAUCACUAGCCAAAAAUAAUCAAACAUAGCUGACCAAUCAGCCAUUACAUCAAAAGAUCAUGUCACUAACUUAAGUUUAACUAGCAUUACAAACAAACUAAAGUUGAACUGAAUCAAAUUACAUCAAAACAAAACAGCAAAGUUGGUUGCUUCAUUCAGUUCAAAAACCAUUCGUGCGCACCAAGCAAAACGAGCUGAGCUCGAUAGCUGCUGGUCUCGAUAGUAGCAAGCUUUUGGCUCCAUGUUGCAUUGCAGUCCAGCUUUCAACACUCCUCCUUGGACUGUAUGCAACACAUUCCAAUUGCACUUCUCAAAGAUUCAAAUCGAGCAGCCCCUAAGGGCUUGGUCAUUAUGUCAGCCAAUUGUGCUCCUGAGCUGCAAUUCACAAGGCUGACUUCCUUUGCUUGUUCAGCCUCUCUAACAAAAUGCAAUUUGAUCUUAAAGUGCUUAGUCUUGCCAUGGAACACAGGGUUCUUGGCUAUUGCAACUGCAGACUGAUUGUCCACCCAGAUUUCAGUUGCUUCAUCUUGAGUUUCAUUAAGGUCAUAAAGCAGCUUUCUUAGCCAAAUGGCCUGAUUAACUGCUCCUGCUGCAGCAAUGUACUCUGCUUCAGCUGUGGACUGAGCAACAGUUUGUUGCUUCUUAGAACUCCAGCAAAACAUACCCGAUCCAAGUGUGAAGAAGUAUCCAGAGGUACUCUUCAUGUCAUCGAGAGAUCCUGCCCAGUCGCUGUCAGAGUAGCCUUCUAAUUUCAGUUGGUUCUGACUUUCAAACAUUACACCAAAACUAGCAGUGCCCUUGAUGUAUCUAAGGAUCCUCUUUGCUGCCUUCAAAUGUGCCUCAUUGCAACAAUGCAUAAAUCUUGAUAACAGGCUGACACCAAACAUGAUAUCUGGCCUGGUUGCUGUUAGAUACAACAGACAACCAACCAGGCUUCGAUAGUGCCUCUCAUCAACCCUCUGCUGAUCACCACUGCUAGUCAGCUUUUCUCCUUGAGCCACAGGUGUGCUGACUGCUUUACAGUUAUGCAUGCAAAAUUUGUCUAGAAUCUUCAAAGCAAAUGAGUGUUGGCUGAUGAAGAUACCUCGAUCAGAUUGGUGCACUUCCAUGCCAAGGAAGUAAGUCAUGAUCCCCAAAUCUGUCAUCUCAAACACUUGCUGCAUUUGGACCUUGAACUGAUCAAUGAGCUCGAUUUUGCUCCCUGUCACAAGCAAAUCAUCCACAUACAAGGAGACUAUCAGCAAGGUUUCAUGUUCUGACUUUUUAACAUAUAGAGUAGGCUCACUAAGGCUCUUUGCAAAUCCAAGUUUGGUCAGGUAGGCAUCAACUCUGUCAUACCAGGCCCUUGGUGCCUGUUUCAGGCCAUAGAGGGCCUUUCUCAACUUAUACACUUUGUCUUCAUGUCCAACAACUUCAAAACCUUCAGGUUGCUCGAUAAAGAUCUCCUCCUUGAGAAAACCAUUCAGGAAUGCUGAUUUGACAUCCAAUUGGUGAACUCUCCACUGCUUCUGAGCUGCUAAAGCAAACAGCAGCUUAAUUGUAUCCAGUCUUGCCACUGGAGCAAAAGUUUCUAGGUAGUCAACACCAUACUGCUGACUGUAGCCCUUCACCACAAGCCUGGCCUUGUGCUUGUUCAGUGAGCCAUCAGCAUUGUACUUGGCCCGAUACACCCAUUUAACUCCUAUGACCCUCUUGUGUUCUGGUCUGCUCACCAACUCCCAAGUCUGAUUUUUGUUGAUCAUUUCCAACUCAGCUUCCAUAGCUUUCAUCCAGCUUCUGUUUUUAGCAGCCUCUUCAAAGUCUGAGGGCUCAAUCACAGCAACAUUGCACCUCUGAUAAACAUCAACCAAAGUUCUGGUGCCCCUCACUGGUAUAUCAUCGACAGCAUCAUUACUUGGUCCUUCUUCUGCAGGUUCAACCAAGUCUAACUGGUCCAAUUCAGACAAGUUAGCCACAACACCAUUCCAAUUCCACACCUUUUCCUCAUCAAACUUAACAUCCCUGCUGACUAAAACCUUCUUUGCUGUAGGAUCAUACACUCUAUAGCCCUUCUUAUUGCUGCUGUAGCCAACAAAGAUUCCUGGAGUUGCUCUGCUCUCAAGCUUGGUCCUUUUCUCCACUGGAAUAAGUGCAUAACAUACACAGCCAAACACUUUUAAGUGUGUUAUCACAGGUUUGACUCCGUGCCAAGCCUCAAAAGGAGUCUUAUCCUUGACUGCUCUAGUUGGCAGUCUGUUGAGCAGAUACACUGAGGUGUUGACUGCCUCAGCCCAAAACUGACUUGGAAGCUUGCCUUGAAACAAGAGGCACCUGGCCAUGUUCAGUACAGUCCUAUUCUUUCUCUCACAGACUCCAUUCUGUUGAGGAGAAUAGACUGUUGUGAGCUGAUGGUGAAUCCCAGCAUUGUCACAAAGCUUCUGAAAUCUCUCAGACACAUAUUCAGAUCCAUUAUCAGUCCUCAAGGCUCUAAUUUUGCAGCCUGACUGAUUUUCAGCAUAAGCCUUGAAUUUACAGAAGGCUUCAAACACUUCUGACUUUUGCUUCAAGAAAUAGACCCAGCAUAACCUUGUUAAAUCAUCUAUAAACAAGGCAAAGUACCUGUUCUCACUGAUUGAAGGUGUUCUCAUAGGGCCACAAACAUCAGAGUGCACCAAUUCGAGCUUGUCUUGAGCUCUCCAAGCACUGUCAGCAGGAAAAGGCAGUCUAGCCUGCUUACCAAGCUGACAAACCUCACAAACAUUCCCACUAGCUUCAAUUUUUGAAAUGUCAUCAACCAGAUUCAGCCUAUGUAAUAGAUCAAUAGAUCUAAAAUUUGCAUGGCCUAGUCUCCUAUGCCACAAGUCAGUGCUUUCAACAAGGCUGGUGUAUGCCUUUCUUUCUAUUUGGCUAACAUCCAGCAUGAAGCACCUAUCAGUCAUAGAGACUGUGACUAACUCCAGACCAUUCAUGUCUUGAACAAUACAGCAACCAUCCUUAAAAACCAAUGUAUAGCCCUUUUCAACUAAUUGGCCCACACUAAGCAAAUUCUGGUCUAAUUCAGGUACAAAAAACACAUCUGAGAUCAGCUUGUUACCUGAACCAGUGCUAAUCAACACACUGCCCUUGCCUUUAGCCUCAAUCAGCCUACCAUCUCCAAUUCUAAUCCUCGAGUGGAAGCUUCUGUCUAGGCUUUUGAACAGCUUCUCAUCUGCUGCCAUAUGGUGUGAGCAGCCACUGUCUAGUAGCCAAUCAUUGCUGGCCUUGGUUGUGCCAACAAAACAAGUUGCUGUGAACACUUGCUCCUCCUGAGCUUGAAUGUCCUCAGCAGGUCUAGCUUGUUGCAGAGUAGCCUCCCUUGGUUUGCCCUUGCACACCUUCUCCACAUGGCCAAACUGUUUGCAUUUUCUACACUGAAUAUCUGGCCUAAACCAGCAAUACUUUUCUGAAUGUGUUGUCUUCUUGCAAUGAACACAUGGUGGGAACACCCUUUUUGCUUCAUCUCUUCCUGACUUGACCCUUCUAUUGUGCCAAGGCUUCUUGCCUUUUGCACUCACACUCGAGCCUUCACUGGCUUUAGCCUGGAAAGCAGCUUCAGGAUUCUCCUCCUGCCUAUUUGCCCUCCUUUGCUCAAGUGCAUAUAGGGAAUUUAUCAGCUCAGACAAUGAAAUGGCUGAUAAGUCCCUCGAGUCCUCAAGUGAAGAGAUUUUAGACUCAAAUUUCUCAGGAAGAGUUGUAAUAACCUUUUCAACAACUCUGCUCUCUGUGAAGUCCACUCCCAGGAGCCUAAUGCUGUUGACAAUGGCCAUUAUCCUGUCUGAGUACUGCUUGAUGGUCUCAGACUCCUUCAUCCUCAAGUUUUCAAAGUCUCUCCUGAGGUUGAUUACUUGCUGUUGCCUUGUCUUAUCAGUCCCCAUGAACUCCUCCUUCAGCUUCUCCCAAGCCUGCUUAGGUGAGUCACAGGCCAUGAUGCGAGUAAAUAUCACAUCAGAGACUCCAUUUUGCAAGCAGGCCAUAGCCUUAUGCUUCUUGGCUCGCUCCUCAGUAUGUUGCCUCAUCUGUGCAAUGGUGGGAUUGGCUCUCAAUGGAGGUGGUUCAGCAUCAUUCUCGAUCACACUCCAAAGAUCAUGUGCCUGGAGAUAAGUCUUCAUUUUAACUAUCCAAAUGUGAUAGUUUUCUCCAGUGAACACUGGUGGAGGUGGUGGAGUGAAACUCAUUCUGCUGAACUGAUUUUAAAUGCUUCAAUCUUACCAAAUUUUGAACUUGCUGUUGGUUUUGUUUCGAACACAACAGAUUGCAUACAAAGGCCCCUCAAAGACUCGGGCUCAUGAUACCAUUUGUUGGAACAAUGACAGCAGCAAACAUCAAAGCAAAUUUGCAACUCAAUGUUUGCAAGACUGAAGCAAGAAGAAUCAAGGCAAGCAAAGCAUCAAAAAUCAAAAUACUCAGCAAUGUUUGUGACUGAACAUACCUCAUUUUUCAUUCAACUUGAAAUAUAUAAAAGAGUUACAAUUGUACAUUGACAGUUACCUAAUGUAUUUAACUGCCCCAACUAAUACAAACCUAAUCACUAGCCAAAAAUAAUCAAACAUAGCUGACCAAUCAGCCAUUACAUCAAAAGAUCAUGUCACUAACUUAAGUUUAACUAGCAUUACAAACAAACUAAAGUUGAACUGAAUCAAAUUACAUCAAAACAAAACAGCAAAGUUGGUUGCUUCAUUCAGUUCAAAAACCAUUCGUGCGCACCAAGCAAAACGAGCUGAGCUCGAUAGCUGCUGGUCUCGAUAGUAGCAAGCUUUUGGCUCCAUGUUGCAUUGCAGUCCAGCUUUCAACAGAUUUGGAAGGUCCAUUAUGUUCUUCACUCUCAAGACUCUCUUUUCUUUCCAAACUUAUCCUUGAUGGGAACCCAAUCUCUUAUUUACCUCCCAAUUUCUUGGAAAUUUCCUCUCGUUUGGUUUCUCUCAGUUUGAGGGAUUGCAAUUUGAAUGGGCAUUUUCCAACCGGAAUUCUCUUAUUGCCAAAAAUUCAAAGCAUUGACAUUUCAGGCAAUGACCAACUUAUGGGUCAGUUGCCAGAAUUUCCAGCAAACAAUGCUUUACAGAGUUUGUCGCUUUCUUAUACAAAUUUCAGAGGAGAACUACCUCAAUCAAUUGGUAAUCUCAAGUUCUUAACAGAUUUACAUCUUUCUGGUUGCAAUUUUUUUGGACCCAUUCCAUCGUCAAUUGCAAAUCUUAGUCACCUGGUGAACUUGGAUCUGGGAUAUAAUUAUUUCAGUGGUUUAAUCCCUUCGUUUCAUAGAUUUGGAGUUCCUAAUCUUGAAAAUCUCAAUUUGGAGACGAACAAGCUUUUUGGAUCAAUACAUUCUUCUUUAUUUACUCUUCCAUCGUUGAAGACCUUUUAUCUUGGAGAAAAUCAAUUGGUUGGGAAAAUUGAUGAGUUCCCCAAUGCAUCUUCUUCUUUGAUUGAAGUACUGUCUAUAGGCAAUAAUGAUUUAACAGGACCAAUCCCAAAGUCAAUCCUUCAACUUCCAAGGCUUGAAUGGCUUUAUAUCGAAAGCAAUAGCUUCAGUUCCAUGAAGCUUGACAUGUUUGUCCAUCUCAAGAACUUGAGGUAUCUGACGCUGCUCAACACAAGCUUGUUAAUUGAAAGCGACAAUAGAAGUCUUACUUUUCCCCAGUUAGAGAGCCUAAGCCUAAGGUCAUGCAACCUUACUGAAUUUCCAGAAUUCAUUAAAAGGCAAGACAAGUUGGUUUACUUAGAUCUUUCUAACAAUCAUAUCCAUGGUGUUGUGCCUAAUUGGUUGUGGAAGAGCAGUCUUUCAUUCUUACACCUUUCUUUCAAUGUGAUUGAUUUUCCAAAACAGCUUCCCUUAAAUGAUGCAAACUUCUCUUUUUCAAUGUUGAGGGUAUUGUAUCUGGAAUCUUGUAACAUAAGUGCGUUUCCGGAGUUCUUAAAGAGUCUAGAAAAUUUAGUAGUUCUCGACCUUUCAAAUAAUAAAAUAAGUGGUGCAAUACCAAACUGGGUGUGGAAGAAAAGUUUGCGGUAUCUGUUUCUUGCUAAUAACCAUAUCUCAUCUUUGGACCAACUUUUACCCAAUCAGAGUUCAACUUCUUCACAAACCUCCUUGACUAGACCUAUUUGCAAUUUGAGUAAACUUAGAAAUUUCAAUGCAUCUCAUAACAAUUUGAGCGGCACGAUUCCAAAUUGCUUAGGCAAAAUGAAUGAUCUCUAUUUGUUGGAUCUGCAAGGAAAUAACUUCAGUGGAAUGUUACCAAAAUUUUCAAAAGUAACCCAAUUAUAUAUUCUUAAAGUUAGCGAGAAUAGAUUAGAAGGGAAGUUGCCCAGAUCAUUAGCUGAAUGCACUCAGCUUGAAGUUUUGGACGUGGGAAACAACAAGAUGAAUGAUACAUUCCCUUUUUGGUUGGAGAAGUUGCCUUACUUGACCGUUCUAAUAUUGCGGGAAAACAGAUUUUAUGGUCAAAUUAAACAUAGAUUUGUUUUCCCAACUUUGGAUGUGUUGGACAUUGCUUCAAACCAGUUUUCUGGUGAACUAUCCAUUGAUUUCCUUCAAGCCACUCGACUAAGGUCACUCAAAAUAGGUGGGAAUAAAUUAGAAGGGAAGUUGUCGAGAUCAUUAGCCAAUUGUAAAGCACUUGAGGUUCUGGACCUUGGAAAUAAUAUGGUUCAUGAUACAUUCCCAUUUUGGUUAGAGAAGCUGCCUUCCUUGAAGGUUCUCAUUUUGCGAGGAAACAGAUUCUACGGCACAAUUACAAAAUUUAACACAGAACGUGGGUUUCCAAAGCUACGCAUAUUGGACAUUGCUUCCAACAAUUUUUCAGGCGACUUGUCCAUUGAAUUUUUGCAAAGCUUGAAGGAAAUGAUGCAGUUAACAAAUGACGACAAAGCUAAGCUGGAUUACAUUGGAGAGAAUUAUUAUCAAGAUUCAGUGACAAUUUUCAACAAAGGGAUUAAGCUGUUUUACGAGAAAAUCUUAACCACUCUUACUUGUCUUGACCUUUCCAACAAUAGUUUCCAUGGGAGAAUACCAGAAGAAAUACAAAUGCUGAGGUCACUCAAAGUGCUAAACUUGUCCUAUAAUAGCUUCUCCGGUGAAAUCCCAGUAGCAGUUCAAAACCUAAAAGAUCUGGAGUCUUUGGAUCUGUCACAGAAUGAGCUAUCAGGGAAGAUUCCUCCACAGCUUACAACUCUAACUUUCCUAGAGGCACUGAACUUUUCUUACAACCCACUUGAAGGGAGCAUACCGCAAGGCAACCAAUUCAGUACAUUUUCAAAUGAUUCUUAUCGUGGGAAUCCAAAAUUAUGCGGUCAACCAUUGUCCAAGAAAUGCAAUGAAGACGGUCUUCCAGUGCCACCGCCUCCAGGGGAAGAGGAACAGUCAUGGUUAUAUGCUAUGUCAACUUGGAAAAUUGUUUUGAUAGGUUAUGGUAGUGGUUUGGUCGCUGGGCUAUGUAUCGGAUAUACAGUGUUGAAUGAGUUGGGAAACAAAUGGGUUGACAAGUUCAAAAAACACGGGAAAAGAAACAGAAGAAGAUCUAGGUGACUGUGUCGGAAUUCAUGUAUUAAAGUCAACAGGUAUACAUUUCCUUUUGAAACUAUAGUCUUUAUAUUUUGAAAAGAUUGAUGUUACAAACUAAUUUUGGAUCAUACAACAUUGCAAUUCCUUAAUUUAAGCAGCAGGAGUGGUAACACAGUGAUUUUGUUUUUCCUAUGCAACAUUCCCAUAUUUGUAUGCUUAUGAGAAGUUAUAUUCUUGGUGGUUUGACUUGUGUUUCUUAUUUUGUCACAGGGAAAUGACCUCUGUCCUUCUAAGCUUCAAGAAGAAAACCACGCAAAGCAUGAUAAAUUUUGUCUUUUUUGUUUGGGUUUUUGUGCUAUAUAUUUUAUCAAACACAUGUUGGGCUUUAGGCUCGGGUGUAAUGGGUAGACCUAUUGGUCCGAGUUUUUGUGCAAUCUGACAUUCGUUUUGUACAAAUAAUUAAUUUAUCUUUUAAUAACAAUUUUAUUACUUUAAAAAUAAGUAAAUAAAAUGAUGAAAAAUUAGAUAUCUUAAAAUAUGAUCCGUUUUCCAGAGUUGACAAACAAUGUAAAACACUAUAAAUAUGAUAGCUUUUUCAAAUGAUUCUCCCAUUAUGAAACAUUUAAGUGAAUUUACAGAAAUGAAAUAUUUAUUCACAAGAAAUAAAAAUUAGCCAUGUUAUGCAUAUGAAAAACAUGAUAAUUGCAAGUGAAAUGAGAAGCUUCAUAUUCUAAUUUUCAGGCCAAUAGUCUGAGAAGAAAGCACAGAUUGGCAGAAUAAAGUUGAGAAAAGGAGAAGCAUAUGGCAAAAAGGAUUAUCCCAAAACUGAUAUGUUGCACUCGACGUUCUCUUACAUGUAGUUUGUAUCAUACGCGGAUGUUGGAUCUUAUUAUCUUAGGAUUUAGUUUACCCAACUCUGAACUUCUGCUUUAAAUACAAUAAUUCUAUUCUAAAUUGGUAUUGGGAUUAGUCUAUUUAUACUUUCAAUGAUAGUUUUAUUACUUUAAAAAAAGUACCCUUCAAUUAAACUUUGUACGUAAUAAUAUGAUAAUAAUAAUUAAAAGAUAAUGAAAGAAAUUAUGUCUUACAGUCUAGUAAAGGCCAACAAUGUGUCACACUAUCAUUACAAUGUACACAUACUUUGUAGGGAAAUUUAUCCAAUGAAACAGAGGAUUAAACUAGUUUCCCAGAUGCAGGGAAGAAUUGGUAUGCUACAAUACUAAGAAAAAUACUAAUAACAAAAAAAUGGUAAUGGAAUCACCGUUGUUAUCGGGCUUAUGAAUUUCAUUGAUUACGGCGUGAUAACUGAUGAAUACUCUUAACAUAUGGGCAAAUCUGGCGGCGGCGGUGCUAACCUCUUUUUGUAUUUUUAUUGGAUCCUCCUAUAUAGGAGCUUGGAGGGAAGGAGUAUGUGCUCCUUAUAGAGCUGCGGUGCCAUGGCUGUGCAGAAUGGUGCCGAAGAAUGUACUGCUGCAGGCGGUUAUUUGCCAGUGUCCUGGUACAGGUAGCUGGCCAUUUGUGGAGACCACAAAAAAUAAAAAUUAACUGUGUUUUGCAAGAGUAUUUUUUUUUCAUAUUUUAGAUUUAAAUAAUUAUAUAUUCUUUAAUCUCAUUGGGUAUUAAUUGGUUUGGUAAAUUUUGAAAUAAAAAAAUAAAAAAAAAAUUUUAUUUCAAUAAAAUAAUACAUCCUUGUGUCUCAUUUGACAAAUAUUCUUUUAUUUUUUCAUUUCAUUCAUACUCAUACCACACAGAUAAUUAUUCUUAAAUUCAUUUGUUCUUUGGGGUCUUCUUUUAUUCCUAUAACAGGUCUCCAAAUAUCAAUGAUACGAGCGCCGCUGCUGCUGACUCAGAGUCUCCUUUUGAGCAGGAAUCUUAAGACUUUGAAAAUGAUCGAGAUUACAACUUAUCUCCUAAUUUGUUAAGUAUGUUAGAACAAUAUGAGAAACAGAUUCUACCUCACAAACAGUUAGUGAAAAUUUUGAGCUUAGGAGACAAACAAGAAAAGAAAGAGGUGAAGAUCGAAACUUGCAUCACUGCAAAGACAAAACGAGACCUCAUUGAGUUACUCCAAGAAUUUAAAGAUGUCUUUGCAUGGUCGUAUCAAGACAUGCCUGGUCUAAGUACUGAUAUUGUGGUAAACUGGCUUCCCAUAAAGGAAGAAUGCAAGUUGGUUCAACAGAAACUUUGAAGGAUGAGGCCCGACGUCCUGUUGAAAAUAAAAGAAGAGGUUAAGAAACAAUUUGAUGUUGAUUUCCUACAAGUGGUUAAAUAUUCGGAGUGGGUAGCCAACAUAGUCCUCGUCCCUAAGAAAGAUGGAAAACUACGAAUAUGUAUAGACUAUAGAGAUUUAAACAAAGCCAGCCUGAAGGAUAAUUUCUCGUUACCUCACAUCCAUACCUUAGUGGACAACACGACAGGUUAUUCACUGUUCUCCUUCAUGGACAGUUUCUCCAAAUACAACCAGAUAAAGAUGCAUAUGAAAGAUAUGAAAAAGACCAUAUUUGUAACCAUGUUGGGAACAUUUUUCUAUAAAGUAAUGCCAUUCAGGCUGAAAAAUACAGGAGCGAUGUAUCAAAGAGCCAUGUUUACGUCGAUGAUAUGAUCAAAAAAUCCUGAACAGAAGAGGAGCAUGUAAAAGUCUUGAGGAAACUAUUUUUGAGGUUGAAAAAAUUCCAGCUAAAGUUGAAUCCUGCAAAAUGCACUUUCAAGGCCACGUCGGGUAAAUUGCUAGGGUUUAUAGUUAGCAGCAAAAGGGAUCGAGAUAGACCGAAUAAAUUUAAAGCUAUACAAGAGUUACUUUCACUGCGUACCCAAAAGGAGAUCUGGGGUUUCUUAGGGAGAUUAAAUUACAUUACCCUGUUCAUCUCACAACUAACUGAGAAAUAUGACCCCAUAUUCCGUCUCCUUAAGUAACAUGAUCUAGGUGUAUGGGAUGAGGAAUGCCAGAAAACCUUCGAUAAGGUUAAACAUUACUUGUCCAAUGCCCUAGUGCUGAUGCUACCUAGCCCAGAUAAGCCACUGAUACUGUACUUGGCAGUAUUUGCUUGGCCAACAUGAUGAGUCAGGGAGGAAAGAAAGAGCAAUGUAUUACCUCAGUAAGAAGUUCACUGAAUGUGAGACAAUAUAUUCACCAAUAGAGAAAUCAUGUUGCGCCUUAACCUGGACUACCCGGAAGCUGAGAUAAUACAUGUUGUACAAUACGACUUGGCUCAUCUCGAAAAUGGACCCUCUAAAGUAUAUGAUAGAAUUGAUUGCAUUAAAUGGAAGAAUAGCCCAGUGGUAAAUUCUGCUGUCCGAAUUGGAUAUAAUCUAUGUAAACCAAAAAGCAAUAAAAGAGAGUGCAAUAGCGGACUCUUAGCUAGCAGAGCUCUAGAAGAUUACGAGUAUUUAAAUUUCAAUUUUUCAAACGAGGAUUUGAUGUAUGUUUCAACCACUAAAGAAGGUGCUCCAAGAGAAUAUCCCAGGAAAUUAAAUUUUGACGGAGCCUCAAAUGCCAUGGGUAACAGAAUUGGGGCAGUCCUGGUAUCUUCAAAUAGAGAUCAUUAUCCUUUCACCAGUAAAUUUGACUUUGAUUGCACAAAUAAUAUGAUAAAAUACGAAGCAUGUAUCAUGGGUAUUCGUGCAGCUAUAGAAUGCAAGAUCAAAAUGUUGGAGUUAUAUGAGGAUUCUACACUAGUGAUCUAUCAACUUAAAGGUGAAUGAGAGACAAGAGAUCCCAAGUUGAUUGAUUAUUGAAGGCUAGUCCUUGAGUUAAUUAAGGAGUUUGAUGACAUCAUCUUUUGCUACCUCCCGUGAGAUGAAAAUCAAAUGGCCGACGCCUUGACUACCUUAGCUUCCAUGGUCAAAGUGAACAAAUAAGAGGAUGUAAAACCUAUCCAGAUGAGUAUUUAUGAAGCUCCGGCCCAUUGUCACAAUAUCGAGGAAGAAGAAAAUGAUGAUCACCCUUGGUACCAUGACAUAAUACAAUAUGUAAAGGAUCGUGAAUGCCCUGAGCAGGCAACCGAGAAUGAUAAAAGGACACUUAGAAGACUGACUAAUAAGUAUGUCCUACAUGGGGAGAUCCUAUACAAAAGAAGAAAGAAUUAUGUGUUACUAAGAUGUGUAGAUGUCGUAGAGGCCAAGAAAAUCUUAGAAGAAGUCCAUGAAGGCGUUUAUGGAACACACGCUAAUAGUUUUACAAUGACCAGGCAAAUCAUGAGAUUCAGAUAUUAUUGGUCCACCAUGGAAGGUGAUUGUAUCAAUUAUGCCAAAAGGUGUCACAAAAGCCAAAUUUAUAGAGACAAAAUUCAUGUGCCUUCCUUAACUCUUCAUGUUAUGACUUCUCCAUGGCUUUUCUCUAUGUGGGGCAUGUAUGUCAUUGGGUCAAUCUCGCCAAAAGCUUUCAACGAGUACCAAUUCAUCUUUGUGGUCAUCGAUUACUUUACCAAGUGGGUAGAUGCCGCUUCUUAUGCCAAUGUCACAAAAUCGACAGUUAACAAACUCUUGAAGAAAAAGAUCAAAUGUCGAUAUAGAAUUUUAGAAAGGAUCAUAUCUGACAAUGCAUUGAAUUUGAACAAUAGCAUGACAUCGGAGGUCUACAACCAAUUCAAGAUCAAGCAUCAUAACUUGUCACCAUAUCGCCUAAAAAUGAAUGAUGCAGUGGAGGCAGCAAAUAAGAACAUUAAGAAGAUCAUGGGAAAAAGACAGAGACUUAUAAAGAUUGGAAUUAAAAAUUACCAUUUGCCCUCUAUGCUUAUUAAACGUCUGUCAGAACCUCAACCGGGGCAACGCCUUUCUCAUUGGUUUAUGGAAUGGAGGUGGUUUUGCCCAUUGAAGUUAAGAUUCCUUCUUUGUGAGUUUUAUCAGAGUUGAAGUUAGAUGAAGUAGAAUAGAUCCAAUCUCGAUAUGAUCAGUUGAACUUGUUCCAAGAGAAAAGGUUAAAAGCUAUCCGCCAUGGUCAGAUGUACCAAAAACAAAUGAUGCGAGCUUAUGAAAAAAAGGUUUACGCCAGAGAAUUUCAUGAUGGGGACUUAGUGUUGAAAAAGAUCCUUCCCAUACAAGAAGACUUUAGAGGAAAAUGGAUGCCAAAUUAGGAAGGACCUUAUAUGGUAAAAAAGUCUUUUCUGGUGGAGCAUUGGUUUUGACCGAGAUAGAUGGCAGAGAUUUGCCUAACCCUGUGAAUUUAGAUUCAAUAAAGAGGUAUUUCACCUAAAAAAACAAAAAAACAAAAGGAGAGGCCAAGGCAAAAAUCCGCAAAGGGCGUCUUGAGACUAAAGGAGUUUUGAGUUGAAAACCCGAAAAAGGCGGCUCAAAUUUUGAUCAAAGGUAGGGUAUGUGGUAGCCUUGUCCCCUCAGAAGUAACAAGGAGGAAAAAAUUUGUAUCUUGAAGCAUCAACGAAGUAUUCUAGAUCCCCUAAACACAUAUUAGGCUCAAAAUGGUCCUUAAAAAGUUUGUGCGAAGAAGUUCAUGCUACGAUAUCUGAGGCACCUAAUUUCAUUUCACUUAUUUUAUGUUUUAGCAAUGUCUGCUAUUUUGAUUAUCUUUUCAUUUAGAGCUUUGCUCCCAAUAAAUUUUAAUUUUGUCCAUUAUUACGACCUUAUUCAAACAUUUUUGCAUUAAAAUGGCGAUUAAUGGACUAACAAUAUUAAACUAAAAGGAUUUCUACGUGCUGCUUUGAAAAAUCUCUAAAUAGUACAGGGACCUGAAACAGGACCACUAGUUAGAACUAACCAAAUUUGAAAGUUGGAAACAUCACGAAACAAAUAGUCCAAAUUGUGAUUACCUUUUCGGGUUUCCUAUCAAAGAUACCAGAUCUGAACAAAAAGGCAUGGUAACACAUCAGUGAUAGAACCUUGACGAACAACGAUUAAUGUCAACCUUGGCAUUAAAAAGGGGAUUAUUCUAAAAAAUGUCAUGUUGCAUUCAUACAAAUAUCAUUCAUAUACAUCUAGUUAGGAGCAUUUAAUUCAUUCCGAUCAUAACAUCCUAAUCGUUUGACAUAAAAUAUAGGCCUAUGAAACAGAUUCUACAGGUCCUGUUCCCUAGAGAACGGUGUAACAGAUCAGUGAAACCACAAAUCUUAUACCCCUAAAGUUGUAGUGGGUCAGAUUGAAUCUACCAUAGCGAAUCUUAUCUCCCUAAAGUUACAGUGGAGCAGAUUAAAGCUACAAAUCCUAUUCCCCUGAAGUUGCAGUGGGUCAAGUUGAAUCUACCAUAGCGAGUCUUAUCUCCCUGAAGUUGCAAUGGAGCAGAUUAAAGCUAAAAAUCCUAUACCCCUGAAGUUGCAGUGGGUCAAAUUAAAUCUACAAUAGUGAAUCUUAUCUCCCUGAAGUUGCAAUGGAGCAAGAUGAAGCUACAAAUUCUAUACCCCUGAAGUUGCAGUGGGUCAGAUUGAAUUUACCACAACAAAUCUUAACUCCUUGAGGUUGCAAUGGAGCAAGAUGAAAUCGUAAUACUAGAUCCUACCUUCCUAAAGUUGUAGUGAAGCGAAUACAGUAAAGUAUAGUAACCAAGGAACUGAAAGAGUGAGUUGCUUGAAAAAGAGAGGCACUAGAGAAGUCAAGAUUCAACGGGACCGAACAAAAUUGGUCCUCCUUUAAAGUCUUUGCUCCAUUCCCGUUACACGAUAAUAAUCAAAUAGGGGCAAUUGUAAGAGCCCAAUUUUGCUCGGGCCCAAUAAUAAAACAAUAGCAAAAAAUAACAAUACAUUUACAAAGCUCGAGAGCCCAAAAAAUUAUUACAAGCCCAAAUACAAAGAGAAGGCUCAAUGGCCCAAAAUCCUAAUCUUUCAGCAGAAACCCUAGUUGCCUUAGCCCCCUACUGCAUCGCUCCCCGGCAUGUCAGCGGACACUACGCUGAAAACCUUUCCCCUUGCACCAAAAUGGCAGUAGCAACCCCGUUGACUUCCAUCGCCUUUGCAAGAAACACAAAAAAGGAAAAGAAGCAGAAAUAAGCAAUUGAAAAAAAACAUAUAUUGUAAUAUUAUUUCAGUUAUAAAAACCGAUCUUUGUAACACGAAAAGGGGAUCGAAUACACCGAAAUAAAAAAACAAAAUCGAAAUACAAAAAAAUAUAUCAGAAGAAUCAAAAUAAAAAUACCACAAAAUUCAAAAAGGUACAUUUUAUUGUUUAUUAUUAUUUUAUUUUGAUUUUUCUCUUUUUGAAAUAAUAAAAAAUAAAAAGGGAGAAACUUUACCUGUUUUGCGCCGUCGUCAGAGGUCCCCUUCGACUUGAGAAGCCUCGUCGAAGAGAGUAGAACCGAAAGGUUUUUUUCAUUUUUUGAGAUUUUGGCUAAGAUUUUAGUGAUUUUGACUCUAGAUCAGAGAUCUACGCAGAAAAGGAUUAUGGGGAAUUUAUUUGGCAAUCUUUGGCCACCGAAGGCGACGGCCUCUGUCGCGAGUGACCGGUGGCCACAGCGGAGACUCGCUGGCCCCAUGGCUAGAUUUGAAGCCACUUUAAAGAAAAAAAAGGAGAAUGAAGUUUUUUUUAAAGAACAUGCUAAAAUGAUUUUUUUUUUCAAAAUUUUAACUUAUAUAGACAUAUCAAAAUGAUGACGUUUUGGCCUAGCUUCAGAAACCCCAAAACGAUGUCGCUUUGAACUCAACCAAAAAACUGACCAAUUUUCCCCUUACGAUUUAGGUGUUUUUGAAGUGAGGGGAUAUUUGUAGUUUUGGUCCUUUCACUUUUUCAUCUUUUUAAUUUAGUCCUGCUCAUUUUAUUUGUUUUAAUUUUUGCCCUAUAAUUUAAUUUCUUUUGCAAUUUAGUCCCCUGACCCACUAUGACCCCUUGAGGAGUAACACGUGUCAAUAGGAAGGGGAUAAUUUCCAUUUGACCCCUUAAAGUUUUCUACCUUAUUUUAAUUUAAUCCUUUAAGUUCUGUUUCUUUAUAAUUUAGGCUUUUUGUUUUGUUAUAUUUUUAAUUUAGUCCUUUAUUCCCCUUUCCUUUAUUUUUUUCUUGCAAUUUGUGCUUUACGUUUUGUUUGAAUUUUAAUUUAAUCCUCCAUUCAUUUAAUUAAGUCCAUAUAUUUACUUUUUUUAUUUUUUUUACCGUCUGAUUUUUUAUUUUUUUAAAUUUUGAUCCUUACUUUUAAUUAUUGAUAUUACUAAUAUUAUUAAGUAAUUAUUGUUGUUAAUUGAUAUUAAUUUUGUUAAAAUUCGCUUAAAGAACCAAUAUUUUAUUAACGUAAUUCUAUUAUUAUCAUGCAUUUUUAUAUUAUUUCAUUAUUAGUAUUAUUAGAUUAUAUUAUUAAUUAAAUAUUUUUUAUUGGCUUUUCAUUUGUACUCAUUAUAUUAUUGUCAUUUUGUUUUAUUAUUUAUGUUAUUUUACCAUAAUUUUCUCCAUUAUCUUACAUUGUGAACAAUUGCUACAUACAUCUAUUUUUAGGCAUAAGUGCAUAAAAGAAUAAAGACUAAGGCGAUAUUCUUUAUUUUGAGGAUUUCUAGAAAUUGUGCCCUUAACUUACGGGGUACAAUUUCUCCCUCGAACCAAAAUAAUCAAACAUCCCUUCUCUUUUUUGGAAGAAAUAAUAAUUAAAAAUAUAUAAGAUUUGAGCAAUAAUUAAGAAAUGAGCAUUCUUAUUUUCGAGAAUUCGAGACAUCGUGUCCUAACUUAUGAGGCAUGAUUUUCUUCUCGAUUAACUUGAAAUACGAAGACAUUCUUCAUAAAAUUUGAUUUAAUUUCUUAUUUUUGGAGAUUUGAGACAUUAUGCCCUAACUUACGAGACAUGAUUUUCUUCCCGAUUAACUCGAAAUACAAAGGCAUUUUUCAUAAAAUUUGAUUUAAUUAGCUGUAUUUUAAUCAAAUAACAUCAUGCCAAAAAAAGGGUCGUAUUGUAAAUUUUCUUCUAAUCCACAAGUCUCGAUGUUAAGACAUCAAGUAAUCAACUAGGUAUCAAUUUUGGGCAUUAUAAAGGUGUUAAUCCUUCCUCAUGCGUAACUGACUCUAGAACUCAUUUCCAGAGUUUGAAGACAAAAAAUCAUCAUUUUAGUAAAUUUAACAUUUUAUUAAAAUGAUCGAAUUUCAAGGUGACCUAACAACACCUAAAUAAAAAAGAUUGAUGGCGACUCCAUUUUCAUUUUAAAAAAUAAAAAUUUGAUUUCAAAAAAGGGUUUCGACAUUCUUGAUAUGAAAGGUUGUUCAAUUAGACCAAGAAGGUGCAAAAAAAAAUAGUACUAACUACUAACCAUUAGAGAUUGAAGAACAAAUAAGAGCAUUUACAUCCAUAUCUCCAGCAAUACUAUCAUUUUGUACACCAAAAGAAUAUGUUAAUAAAUAUGUAAGAGAAGUCAAGAUGAAUGAACAAGAGAGAGAAAAAAAAAGCAAAGGCAAUUAAUUGAAGCCCAAGACAGGAAAAAGAAGAGCUUAAGAGAUGAGAUAAAGCAAAAAAAAAAUUAAAGAAGUGAGGAGCCAAUAUGAAGGCACAAAAAAGAAGAGAAAGUAAAAUGAAAGAGAGAAGUUUAGGCCUUCUUCUCCUGUAAUAACCACAGUUCAUCCACACGAGAACAAGGGUCCUACCUCUUCAUCUCGACCCUUUUUCAAUAAAUUGUAAUGACUCAACCCAAAAACAGAGAGAGAAAAUCUAUAACCCCAAUUUCCAAUAAAAUCUAACCCUAGAUCUAGAAAUAGUUAAAAAAUCUAUAAAAUCGAGGUUGAUUUACAAAUGAAACAUCGUUAAGGAAAUCUAUAAAAUUAUUAAGGAAGGUCUUCUUCACCGGGUUAAGCGACGGGAAGUUGGGAGGGGGUGAACAAACAAUGAGGAAGGAAAAGUUUGGACCUCUGAUGGUUUUUCUUGUUUCAACAUAUCCAUUUCUUCUCCUCAUCUUUUUCUUCUUUUAGUGUUUUGUUUGAUUCUUAAAAUGGGUUUCCAUUGUGGCAAGUUAAUUGACCACGUCACCUGUUUCGUUAGACCUAUAACGAAAAAUGUUAGUGGGUGAUUGAUUUGUUAGUUUUUAAUAAUGUUAAUGAUCAAUUUGUUAUUUUUUAAAAAUUGAGUGACUGUUUUGUUAUUGAGAUCAAAAUUAAAUGGCUGCUGGUGUAAUUUAUUCUAAUAAUAAUUAAUUAUUAUUAUCCCUUGCUUUAAUAUGUUGAGAAAGUUCAGGGAAAUGUAAAUAAGUUAAAAGAAAGUCAGAAAUUAAAUUAGUAAGUUUCAUCACUUUAGAAUUUUAAAAGACCGAAAAAGUGAGUGAAAAAGUGCUCACUAUCAAUUUGGAAUUACUUUCCCCUCAUUUUUAAUAUUGCUAUGAAUUUUGAUAUUAUAAAUUCUAAUCAUAUUUAAAUUUAAAUAUUCUAAUUAUUAUCUAUAAUGAAUUUGGAAGAGAUGUAAAUAUUAAUCCUUGAAUAUCUGUAUUUCAAAUUAGCUUUACUUUUGUAAACAAUGGACUCACAAUUUUGGACUUUUUAAAUUUAAGAUAAACUUUUUUAUUUAAAAUUUGAAUAAAAAUAUUAUGAUUUAAUGCACAUAAUAAAGGGUUUAAAAUUUAAAGUGAGGACUCAAGUUGAAAUAUUAUAAGAAAAGUGCCAAACAAUUCCACAAAUUAAAAGCAAAGACUAAGGAUAGUUUAUAUUUUCCUCAAAGCAGCCCAUUAUUGACUUUUUUUAGUCGUUAAUUUCAGUGUGUAUCUGUUCAUUUCAUACGCUUUAAGAAGAUUAUUGAAAAGUCACUAAAUUAUGAGGAAAUUUAGUCUUUGAGCCAUCAAUUUAUCUCAAUCAGCUAAGACACUCACCACAAUUCCAUCUUUUCUUUUUUCGAAGAAAUUAUGUUAAGUUCUGUCAUCAUAAUUUCCACCCUUGUUUUUAUAAUGACUUAGACUUAAAUGAAGUGGGAGACCAUUACAUUCAUAUACUAAAAAUCAGAAAAAAAAAAAAGAAAAAGAAAAAGAAAGAUUUGAUGGGUCAUAAAAGUAAUUAAAAAUUUUACUAAAGUAAUUGUACCUAUCAAUUAAUAGGAUAGUUAUAGUGAAUAAAGAUAUCAUUUUCACGAAGACUAAACGUACUAGUAAUUACCGCCUUUCUAUUAUUUAACUAUUAGAGUUGCGUGACCCAAAUUCCUGUCAAAGAAAUAAUAUAGUGGGAAAGCUAGGUUGAUUUUGAAAUUUCAGUCUAAUUAAAAUCCCUAUUAUCGCAUUGACUUGUUCUAUAGAUUCCCUAUUAGAUUUGACUCUAAUUCGGUAGAUUUAUGUUGUCCUAUUUCUAGAAUUGCAGGCAACUUCACUCAACUAUGCAAGAUCUACUCUUAAACAUGAUCUAUUCUUCAUUUGAUUUAAACACAUUGAACAUGGAUCAAUAAUCUAGAAAUAUUAAACCAAGAAUUGAGCGCACAUAAUUGAAAAUAAGAAACUAAGCGUCUAUUAUGUAAAAUAAAAAUCAAAUGACAGAAUCCAUCAUAAGGUUCGUUUUUCUUAGGUAUUUAGAAAAUUAGUUUAUACUCGAAAAUAAAAACAUCCAGGAGAUAGAAUAACCGAAAGAAAUAAAGGAACUCAUGAUAACUCCCUAAGAAUUCAACUGAGAAUCUUCAAUCUUGACGGAAAUCUUCCAAGACGGCUUCAAUGAUUUUUUUCAAGUUGUUUUCUUAAAUAUUCUAUGACGGCUUACUCCUCUCUUUUUAUUUUUGUCAUAUAUACAUCCUAGAAUGCCCAAAAAACCUAAAAAUCGCAUUUUUCCGCAGCUGGGUGUGAAAUCCCUUAAAAUUGAUAUAGUCUACCACAUGGCUAUGUGGUAGGCCGUGUGGAAUGGGUCAGCUUGUGUGGCUUCUAUAGCUUGCUUCGGUUUUCACUCAUUUUUCGCUUCUUUUGCUCCCAAAUGCUCUAUUAAGCAUAAAAUCAUGAAUCUAAAGGAUUAGGAGCAUAAAAUUCACCAUUAAAAUUGAAUAAUCACCCAAAAACACAUUAAGAACGAGGUUAAAAUAUGUUACUUUUUAAUACUUAUCAAGACUUAGACAUUUGUAUGCAGUGCUAAAUAUUAAAAUUAAGAUUAAGACUAACAAUAUCUCCUACUAUUAUUUAAUUAAUUUUUUGAAGUUCAAAGAUUAAUUUAGAAUUCAACCCAUAAUUUGGGGUGUUAAAAUGCAUUGUUAGUCCCUGUAUUUGUAUAAAACUUGAGAUUUGACCCCUAUACUUUAAAAAUAAAAAAAUCAAUACUUUUACUUUUUCAAUUUAAAAAUCAUAGUCAAAUCAUUAUCGUCAUUGGUAGUUUUUAUAAAAAGAAUUCAAUUUUAUAUGUUUAAUUAUAUUAAUCAUAUGCCACGUCAUAUGAGGAUAAACUAAUCAAAAUUUCAAGUUGAAAAGUUUUAUGAAAAAUACUUACGAUUUUAAUGACUACGUUGAGAUUUUUAAAUGAAAAAGGUAAGAGGACUUAGUUUUAAACAUUUACAUACAGGUGAGUGUUAGAUCAAAUUGAGUGAAAAAUUUUGAGUUAAUCGAGUUGACAAAUCCUAUUUUACCAUCCUAACUCGAUUUUGAAAAUUUUCGAAUCAAGUCGAGUGAAAUUGUUCGAGUUAAAUUUAAAAAAACUUAACAUGUCAAUUUAAAAUAUUGUUACAAUAUAACUAAUACAUGUUAGAGCACAUAAAUUUGAAACCAUGUGUAUUUAAAAACUUUUUCAAAAAAAAAAAAAAACUUGAUAGAGACCAAUUUGUUCAUUUUCAUAUUUGAUAGGGACCAAAAAUUUAUUUACACCAAUUUGUUAUUUUAAUUAUUCGAGUUAUUCAAAUUAUAAAAUUCAACUCAAUUCAAACUCGAAACUCAAAUUACUUAUCUAAGUUUACUCGAAUAAUUUAAUUCAAUUAACUCGAAAUUUGAUUUUUUUCUAAUCAAACCAAGAUUUGUUUACUGUUACAUUUACAUGCAUGCCAAAAAAAUUAAGAAUAAGGCUAAUAAUAUCACUUUCUUUGUUAGUUCAAAAUUAAAAUUAUUAAAAAUUUCAAAUUAGACAGUUAUUUUUGAGGAUUUUAUUAAAAUGUUUUAAAGUUGGGAUGUUAAUUUAGAAUUUAAUCCAUUGCUGAAGGAGAAAAGACGGGAACCUUGGAAUAUUAUUCAUAUAGACUAAAGAUGGAGCAAAAUGAACCAUCUCCAUUUUUUCAUUUUUUUUAUAAUUUUAAUUAACUUCAAAGUGAAAUUUUAAAUAUGUUUCUUUUGUUAGAUAAUACUUACAAUCAUCCAAAGCCCUACUCUAAUCCAAAAGUAGGAGUAUAAUACGUCUUAGCAUACUCAAACUUACGUCAUUUUACAUUGAUAACAAUACCUAUAUCAAUCGAUCUAAUACUCAAUUAACAAGAUGUAAAGAAAAUUAAGUGUGAAUGGAAUAAAUUAAUGUUAAGAUUAAGAAUAAAUGAUACAUGCAUUAUGACUAAGAGCUUUAAUAUAUUAUUAUUAUUAUCCCUUGCUUUAGUACGUUGAGAAGGAAAUAAAAAGGAAAGACGUAAAGCAAAUUCAACUACUUUCUCUUUGUUAAUUUGACGAAUGUUUGUUGCUACUUUAGAUUUGGAAUCUCAAAUAGACUUAAAUAACGUGAAUACUAUUGCUUACCAUCAUUUUCUAGGUUAGUCCAAAAAUAAUAAAAAAAUUGUAUGUAAGCUACACAUUUGUGUAUAAAUAAGUUGUAUGGAAACAAUCCUCCUUCACACCCACCAAACAUGGACACUCUUCAUUUCCUUAUUUCACUCUUUCUCUUCUCAUGCUUCCUUCCUCUUGUCUUGUCUUUUUCACCUCCUCAAACUCAUCUCCCUAAGCAAUGCCUUGAUGACCAGAGAUCUCUUCUGUUGAAAUUGCAGCAUCAUCUUUAUUAUGCCCCUAAUUUUACUUUCUCUUCCAAAUUCGAGCUUUGGGAUCCCAACACUGUUUGUUGUUCUUGGGAAGGAGUCACUUGUGAUGCUUAUGGUCAUGUAGUUGGCAUUGAUCUUAGUUACAAAAACCUUUCAGGCAGCUUUCACUCCAUAUUCAAUCUCCAUCAUCUUCAACAUCUGAACCUUGCUGGAAAUAACUUUAAUACCACGUUGUUUUCGUAUGGGUUUGAUAAACUCCAAAAUCUUACUCAUCUCAACCUUUCAAGCUCAUGUUUCCAUGGCCAAAUUCCAAUGAACAUCUCAUUCUUAACAAGGUUAGUUUCUCUUGAUCUAUCCUAUCAAGGUAGUUGCUAUCAAAGAAAUGGUUAUGAUUAUUAUUUACUAUCUCUGAAACUAGAGAAACCAAACUUCAAGACAUUUAUCAAGAAUUUGAAGUUUCUCACGGAGCUUUAUUUGGAUGGUGUCGACAUUUCGACUCAAAGUACUAAAUGGUGUGAAACCACAUCUCUUGUACUUCCAGACCUGCAUGCGUUGAGUCUGUCAAGCUGUGGUUUAGAAGGUCCAUUAUGUUCUUCACUCUCAAGACUCUCUUUUCUUUCCAAACUUGUCCUUGAUGGGAACCCAAUCUCUUAUUUACCUCCCAAUUUCUUGGUAAAUUCCUGUCGUUUGGUUUCUCUCAGUUUGAGGGAUUGCACUUUGAGUGGCCAUUUUCCUACCGGAAUUCUCUUAUUGCCAAAAAUUCAAAGCAUUGACAUUUCAUUAAACUUCCAACUUAUGGGUGAGUUGCCAGAAUUUCCUUCAAACAGUGCUUUACAGAGAUUGUCGCUUAUUUAUACAAAUUUUAGUGGAAAACUACCUGAAUCAAUUGGAAAUCUGAAGUUCCUGACAAAUUUAGAGCUUUCUUAUUGCAAUAUUUUUGGACCCAUUCCAUCGUCAAUUGCAAAUCUUAGUCACCUGGUGAACUUAGAUCUAAGAUAUAAUAAUUUCAGUGGUUUAAUCCCUUCUUUUCAUAGAUUUGGAGUUCCUAAUCUUGUAAAUCUCUAUUUGGAUGGGAACAAGCUUUUUGGGUCAAUACAUUCUUCUUUAUUUACUCUUCCAUCGUUGAAGACCUUGUAUCUUGGAGACAAUCAAUUGGUUGGGAAAAUUGAUGAGUUCCCCAAUGCAUCUUCUUCUUUGAUUGAAGUACUAUAUAUAGGCAAUAAUUAUUUAACAGGACCAAUCCCAAAGUCAAUGCUUCAACUUCCAAGGCU